rnacentral:lncRNA from 1 species
UUUUUUUUUUUUUUUUUUAAGGUAUUCCGCCUUAGGCAUAUCAUAGAAACCAAAAUUAUAAUUUAUCAAGGGUGUAAUUAUCACUAUUUUCCAUUUACGUCGUCGUUUUGCACAAUGCAAAUCCGACUAUGAGUACUACGUGUAAGGCUAGUGAGACCAGAGUCUACUCAAAUCUGUUUACGUGGCAAAACACCCACUAACUCGCCCUUCUCUAUGUGUGUGUGUGUGUGAGAAAUUAUUGGAUUUUCAAUCGAAUUUUUGCAAAAAUGGCGGAUCGAUUUUAUCCAAAUGUAAUGCCGGAUUUUGUAGCAGAAAACCCAGCAGUUGAAGAAGAAAAGCAUCCAAUUCCACAAGGCACAAAUGAAUCACUCUUGAAGCUUCUGUCUACGCCGUACAAUACUCUAUCCGAGAAGUUCAAACGCGCCGCUCUCGAUCUUAAAGAAACUGUAACAACUCUCUUCUUCCUUAUAAACUUAUUAUACGCUUUCAUAAUUCUCGUAAGUAGAACUUCUAAAAUGUUAGGAUUUUUUAAAAAAUGUUUUGUGGUAAAGGAUAAUUAUUGAGUGGUUUAAAUGAAGUCUGAAUAAAUAUUGAGGAUUUAUGUAGUAAACGUUAUUUAGUUUGAGGUUGAAGCAUUCCCAAUUUAUGCGACAGUGUUUAAUUAUGUAAGCAGCUUUAAGAAAAAAAUGAAAGACUUCUAAAAUUUAUGGUCUAAAACAAGCUUUUGUGUGAUUUAGAAGUAAAAUGAAAAGUUUAAAGUUUAAUUAUUUUAAAAUAUAAAAAUGUGUCAUUCUUUGUGCGACAUACUAAAAAAAAAAGGUGUUAGCAUAAAUUGGGACGGGGAGUAAAUUAUUGAGAAUUGGUAUGAAAGGGGUUUAAAUGAAGUUGAAUAAAUACUGAGGAUUUUUAUAUAAUAAACGUUAACUAGUUUGAGGUUGAAGCAUAGUAUUCCUUACGUCCCAAUUUAUUUGACAGUGUUUGACUACUAUGUAAGGAGUUUUAAGAAAGAAUGAAGGACUUCUAAAAUUUAUGUUCUAAAACAAGUUAUAGACAUGUGUGAAAAUAAAUAUCUCAUUAAAGGUAAAUAUGAAAAAGGUAAAAUGAGAAGUUUAAAGUUUAAUUAUUUUUAAUAUAAAUAUGCGUCAUUCCUCAUGGGACAUACUAAAAAAAGUGUUACUUCCUCUUUUCCAAGUUGUGUGACACUCUUUCCUUUGUAGUCUCUUCCAAAAAAGAAUUUGUAGUCUCUUCCAAAAAAGAAUGACACAUUUUUAUAUAUAGUAACAAUUUUACUUUAAAAUGCCAAUUUUAUCCUUAAUGUGAUAAUUUAUAGCCAUACAAAUAGCUUUGACUCAUUUUGUACCACAAUUUCCACCAUCUUUUUUUACCGUGUCCAAUUAAACACCGUCACAUAAAUUGGAAUGGGGGGAGUACAUAAAUUGGGGUGGAGGGAGUAAAUUAUUGACAAUUGGUAUGAAAGGCUUUAAAUGAAGUUGAAUAAAUAUUAAGGAUUUAAAUAGUGGACGUUAGCUAGCUUGAGGUUGAAACGUUAACUAGUUUGAGGUCGAAGUGUUAACUAGUUUGAGGUUGACGUGUAGUAGUUGUUGUUAACUAAUUCUUGUAGAGAACUUCUAAUGAUAGAGGACUUCUAUUUUUCCCGAUAAACUAUUGUGUAUAGGGAUGAAAGGGUUAGAUGCAGCGGAAGGAUGUUAAGGAUUGAUAUUGUUGAUUUUAACUAGUUUGUUAUGAGGUAUAUUUGCUGUUUUUUAAAACUAAUUGAUGGCUGGUGUGGUUGGUGACAGAUAGUACAUAAAUUGGGGUGGAGGGAGUAAAUUAUUGACAAUUGGUAUGAAAGGCUUUAAAUGAAGUUGAAUAAAUAUUAAGGAUUUAAAUAGUGGGCGUUAGCUAGCUUGAGGUUGAAGCGUUAACUAGUUUGAGGUUGAAGUGUAGUAGAUGUUGUUACUAAUUCUUGUAGAGAACUUCUAAUGAUAGAGGACUUCAAUUUUUCCCGAUAAACUAUUGUGUAUAGGGAUGAAAGGGUUAGAUGUAGCAGAAGGAUGUUAAGGAUUGAUAUUGUUGAUUUUAACUAGUUUGUUAUGAGGUAUAUUUGUUGUUUUUUAAAACUAAUUGAUGGCUGGUGUGGUUGGUGACAGAUAUUGGUGGAGACAUGGGGACUAACAAGGCAACAAGUUCCAGAUUUUACGCUCUAUAAUGGAACUCUUGGGACUGCCUUUUUGAUGUUCAAGUCCUAUCAGGUGACAAAUAACACGAACGACCUUGCUGUUUGCUCUCAGAUUGUUAAGGAUUGUGACUUUGCUUCUCGAAACUCCAGGUCAAAAGUCAAUCCUUUCUUUAUUAUAUGCAUCAUUGUUUUCUAUCUAAAGCUUCAAUUGGCAGCAAGAAUAGGAAAAUGGGGUUUUGGUUAAUUUUUUGUGUUACUUCUGCUCAAAUGAACUUUAAGGGUAAUGACUUUCUGUCUUUUCAAUUUAAAGCUUCAAAUGGAAGCAAGAUAAACAAAAUUGUCUUUUUAGGUUGAUUAUUGUGUUAUAUUGAGCUACAAAUUAUAGGGAUGUGACAUUCCUAUGUGGGAGAGCUGGGGUUUGUGCGCUAGGUGCUGUUGUUGCCAAGUACAUGGGGGAUGAUCAACUGGUUCUUUACUAUGUUACUCAGUUUAAAGAGGUUUGUUCUUGAUAAGUGAUAGCUAGACUUUUAUAUUGUAGUUUAUUGUAGUCUGCUAUGCGUAUCGUGAUUACUCACAAGACACUCUUUUGGUUCUGUGAGCAGAUAAAAUUAACUAAAGAUCUUCCUGAUGAAUUGCUGUAUGGUAGAGCUGGAUUCCUCUGGGCUUGUCUAUUCAUGAAUAAGCAUAUUGGCAAAGGAACAAUUCCUUCUACCUAUACUGUAAGUGGAACAGUAUGUUUUGUAAUCUAAGUGGGCGUUAAUCAGAUGGUUGUGAUCUCCAAUCCGAAUUUAUUUUUUCUUAAUUGUAUCUUAGGCUGCUGUGGUCAAUGAAAUCAUCGAGAAUGGAAGGAGAUUAGGAGGGAGGGGCAGAAGCCCGUUGAUGUAUGAGUGGUAUGGUGAGAUGUACUGGGGUGCAGCUCACGGAUUGGCUGGCAUUAUGUAUGUUCUAAUGGAUUUUGAACUGAAACCAGAUGAGCUUGAAGAUGUCAAAGAAACUUUAAGGUACAUGGUUAAGAAUCGGUUCCCAAGUGGAAAUUACCCUACAAGUGAAGAAGAUAAGCGGAGAGAUGUUCUCGUCCAUUGGUGCCACGGAGCUCCCGGGAUUGCUCUAACACUUGUCAAGGCAGCUGAGGUAAUAACUUUCUUCAAUGUGAUUUACUUCAAAUACUAUAAUGUAUGCAUCUCAUUGAUUGGUCCCUUUACUUUAUGUCAAAAUGUUACUGCUAUAAAGAUGGAUGUUGCUCUUAUAGGUAAAAAGUUGUUAUAGAGAGGUUUAUAGAGAGGUCUGUAUAUAUUAUGUAUAUUUGUUGAUACUGUAACUUGGAAAUCCAUGGAUUUUUCCAAUGCCCAGGUUUUCGGAGACAGAGAAUUUCUUAAUGCAGCAGUAGAUGCAGCAGAGGUAGUAUGGAACCGCGGCCUUCUUAAACGUGUCGGGAUGUGCCAUGGGAUCAGUGGGAAUGCUUAUGUCUUCCUAUUGUUGUAUCAGCUCACAGGAAGCGUGGAGUAUUUGUAUAGAGCCAAAGCUUUGGCCUGCUUCCUUCUUGAUAGAGCUCACAAGCUAAUAGCAAAAGGAGAGAUGCAUGGAGGAGAUAGCCCAUACUCUCUAUUUGAAGGUAUUGGGGGUAUGGCUUAUCUUUUCCUAGACAUGACAGAACCUAAAGAAGCUAGAUUUCCAGCCUAUGGCUGUGAAAAAGUUCAUGCCACUGAGAGAAUGUAGUAGCACUUCUCUUAAUGUAUAGAAAACUUAUUCUGAGACAUGCACCUUAAUAUCUUCUGCAGUAUUUCAUUUGCUUUUACUCCACUUCCCCUAUUAAUGAGUUGACUUCUUCUUGUCCCGGUAGAACUGCAGUCGUUUCAGCACUUUCUUGGUAGUUCUAAGCCAUGUCAAUUGUUAAGGGGUAAAUUUGGACCUUUUUUCUCGGAAGAAUUUGAAUGCGUGGAUACUGGAUACCCCAUUUCGUGUUGGAGCUCAGUUAAUGGCAAGAGUAACUAUGAGACGAUUUGCUAACGGCAAGGAUAUGGGUGGACUGAAAGUGUAACGGAUGGCAAAAUUGAGCAAUUUCGGAUAGUACAGUGUCAGAUUUGGGCCUUCCCCUUUUGAAAAGAAUGGGAGGAUAUUUUGGGCAUUUCUUCACUUCAAUGCCUACAACAAACAUUUAGGUAAGCACUAUGAUCUUUCUUGCCCAUUAGAUUACUUUGACUAUGUCAGAUUAAAAAUUGGUUAUAUGGACAAAGAAAAUGAACAGAGAAUCCACGGACUAUCUAAUUCAGAGAAUCCACGGACUCUAAUCACUGUUCAUUUUUUCUUUUUCCUUUUAUCAUGAAAGAUUUAACAGAAUAUUUUGCUGUAAAACCUCUGGAAACAUGUUGUAGAACCGAGGCAUGUAAACCAUUGUCUCGUUUAUUGAUCAAAACAUACAAGUAGAAAUAUGCCGAAAAUGUGAUAUGGUACUGUUUGAUAAAAAUUAGAUCAACAUUCAACUGUGAAAAAUAAGACCCAAAUGCCUGUCCUUCUCAAACCUUGUGCAUAACGGGAGUUUCGUGCAUUGGGUCGCCCUUUAUUCGAUAUCGCUGGAAAGCAGUUCAUCAUAUGAGCUUUUUGAGGAAGGUGAUAAUCAACUGAUUGAUCUGUUCAGGAAACUGCUCCUGCACAAAAUGACUGCCUUCUGGUAAGAAUGUGGUUUCCAGAUUAGGUACAUAUUCUUUCACCAUUCCACUUUUAACGUAAUGCUCUAAUCCACCAAACUUAAGGGCGUAAUCCUUCUCUCCCAUUACAAGCAAACAGGGAACCUUGACUUUGAUAUCUUUAACUCCAUAUUCUUCUAGCCAAGCCCUGUCAAAAUAUCCACUCUUUGUCACAACAUUAUAAGUGCUAAAUAUCAUUUAGAGUGUUUCAGCAACAGAAGCGAAUCCAAUCCAAGAUUUAGAGUCAGUCGGGGUAAAACAAGGGACGAUUCACAUACUAGUACGGAAAAAUAUAAGGCGGGACUUGUUUAUGCUGUGAUUGAUAAUGAAGGUACCGUUUCGGUAGGGGAUGAUUAAUAAUGAUUGGGGUUGUUAUAUGAUUUACUUACUUCAAAAGGGUAUUUUGCCUUUAAUAGUUCAACGCCUGCAUCCACGACGUAGGCCUUUGUCAGGCCAUUAUGGCACGAUGUCGGUCGUGGCAUGCCUAUGUUAAUGGCACAAUGUCGGCCCUGGCAGGCCACUAUGGCUGCCGUGGCGAGGUCAGCCGUGGCAUGCCUCUGUCGAUGGUACUAUGUCGGCCGUGGCAGGUAACUAUGGCACGAGGUUGGUUGGCCGUGGCAUGCCUCUAUCAAUGGUACGAUGUCGGCUCGGCCGUGGCAGGUAACUAUGGCACGAGGUUGGCCGUGGCAUGCCUCUGUCGUUGGUACGAUGUCGGUCGUGUCAGGUAACUAUGGCACGAGGUCGGCCGUAGGCCACUAUCGGCCGACUAAUACAUUUUUUUUUCAUGUUCUAUUUCACGUAAAAUAAUAUACAGUCCUCGCAUAAUUUAAAGCGAGUAUUAAAUAAUAUGCCAUCCAAACGUUGCCUUAGUUAUGUGACAAUUAUUUUUAUUAAUGUGGCCAACUAAACACGGUAUUGUCUAAUUUUGAAUACUGUGCUAUGAUUAAUUAUUAUAAUGUUAUUAUAUGUAAAAAUUAUUUAAACAAACCACAUAUUAGAAUUUCACUAGAAGUGACUGACCUGUAAGGCACCUGCAAUGCUGUUCGGAAACUUGACUUUUCAUAAAGAGAUGCGUAGUUUGCAAGAUCUUCUUCUGUGAACCAGUCAGGCAGUGGAGCAGAAGGAUCAACCAAAUCCAUUAUUUCCUCAUCAUCUUUUGCAAUUGGCAAUUCACUUCCAGAGAACAUAGUAUAUAUGUUCUUAACUACUGUUUUUGUAUCAAAACGCCCAAAGUCCUUUUCAGCUCGCCCUGGUUCCUGCAAAAGCGAAAAGAUUAAUUGUGUAUUUGACACGACAAAAGUCAUUUUCUAUAAAGAAAGAUUUUUUUUUUUGGUGUUUGGUCGGUGACUGGAAAAUACUACAACAACCAGUAAAAUCUCACAACUGGGAUACAAGGAGGGUAAUGUGUACGCAGACCUUACUCCUACCUCCGGGGACAGAGAAGUUGUUUCUGAUAGAUCAUCGGCUUAAGAAGAUCAAGAUUAUUAGUUUGGCCGGUGACCGGAAAAUGUUUUCCCGAAAAACAUAUAUUAAGGAUUAUUCAUAUUCUUAGCAAAUUUGGGAGUAUUUUGAUGAAAAUGUUGAAUUCCAUAGAUUAAUUAUAAUGUCAAAAUGUUAGUUGAAGCAAGUAAUAUGAAACUUAGCGUCUGAUAGUUGUAAGGAAAAUACUAGCUUUGGUCAGUGAGUGAAAAAUAUUUUCUGAAAAAACAUAUAGUAUUAUAGAUUACUCAUAUUAUUAGCCGAUCGAGGAGUAUUUCGAUGAAAAUUUUGAAUUCCAAAAGUUGAAUAAUGUUUAACGCCUAGAUAGUUGUAAGGAAAAUAACUUUCGUUUAUAAAUGAAGAAAGUUAUUUUCCCCACAUUUGAUGAAAAUGACACCCAAAAAAAAAAAAGUUCUUGUUUUAUUUUGUUGGGCAAUACCAAAUAUAUGAGGUUUAAAGACAUAAAAUUACCUGCCAUCUCAACAUAUAGAACCCAUUGGGAAUGAGAUCUCGAGGAAAUGUUUCUGGACCGGUGAGAAGAAAAGGCACACCUAGUGUUACAACUGCUGAAACUCUAUCAGGGUGUACGAGUGCAAAAUGGUAAGCUACUCGAGCUCCAAAAUCCUUCCCCACAAGAAAAACCUAACAAAAAUAAUGGCACAAUUAUCUCAGUAAAUUUGUUGGACUAAAGACCCAUAGGUAAACAAAAUAUUAAGUGGUUUCUUUUUAUCUAUUUAAGUACUCUUGAUUGACAGAGUUAUCAAUAUCAAGAGGCAAAUGGACUAUGAAUUUGAUGGGUUCAAUUGAACCUAUCAUUUUGACGUUGUAUAUAUGAAUCACUAAUAUCUAUAGGCCGAUGGACUAUAGAUUUGAUGAGUUCAAUUGAACCUAUGAAUUUCGAUAUGGCACGUAAAUAAGCAUGUAAAAAAUCACUAAAAUGGUAAUAUAUACCAUAAUCUCAAAAGAAAAGUAGGUUCAACAUACUAAUCUUAAAAAUAGAACUCAUCAUUUAUAUUUUGGAUUUACCUCUGCCUAUACUUGUGUCGCCAUGAGGUAACAUAUACCUAAUGAAAUAGUUAAGAUGUAUACAAAUUGGCUCAAUCACCACAAUGAUUAUUAAAUAUACCGUACUUGUGUCAUCAUAUAAACAACUAGUACAUACUUUGACACUAGGUGGAUGCAAGCUUGAGCUACCAAGUUCAUAUGAACCCAGAAUUUUUGACGCAGAUCAUGAACGUAUGUAUAAAAUCCAUUACAAUUGCAAUAAAUAGUAUAUAUAAACUCAUACCUUUUAAAUAUAAUUGGUUUAAUGCUACGAAGUUUAAAGAUUCAACUAACAAAAGUUUAAAUCCUGAAUCUGUCUCUGCUUUGACACGACUUGUGUAACUAAUGAAAACUUUGACUUGUCAAAAUGCAUUGACAGUGUGAUGUAGGUAGUAAAAAUGUGUAAUCUACACAGGAUUCUUCACCUGAUGGAUGCCUAAUGAAUCAAGCAUGUCCAGAAGAUCAUCGACAAGGUCCCUGAAUGUCGUCUUCUCGGGUUCUGCAGGCAAUUCAGACAAACCAUAGCCUCUGAAGUCAGGGGCUAUGGCUCGAAAUCCUGCAUCCGCUACUGCUAUCAUCUGAUGCCUCCACGAGUACCAUAUCUCAGGGAAUCCAUGAAGAAACAAUACUGCAGGGCCUGCAUAUAUAUAGCUACUUUAAUUUCAGUAUCAAUUAUUCACGUCACAGACAGUGGCGUAGCCAAAAUUUUUACUAAGAGGAAACAAAAUAUAAAGAACCAAACACACAAAGUAGUUAAAGGGAACCAACAUCUACUGUAUAUAUGUAAAAAAUAACUAUGACCUUAUAAUAUGAACCCCUUGCGCGUCUAACUUUCGCCCUAACAGAUAAUUAUAUUUACAUACACAAAAAAGAAAGAAGAGAAAAGAAGAUCAGAUAUGGAGUAGGACCUGUUCCAAUCUCUGCAAUGUGAAGCUUGAGACCUUUUACAUCCACAUAAUUGUGCUGAAUCUUCUCCAUUUUCGUAAGGUAGAAAGGUUAGAUGUGAGUGCAACAAAUUAAAGAGAACUAAUGACAAGCCAAUGUGUUAUUUUAACUCAUAAAUGGAGGCUCACUAUAAUGUAAAUCAUGUGGUUCAUUCAAAUAUUUAAAGAACUUAAUAGGAUUUUUUUAUAGUAUUUGUUAUCUGUGUCUGCAACUUUGAUUUUAGGAUAUUUCCGCGUGUUUUCUUUGACUUUUCCUAGUGUCUACCUUGGUUGACUUUUCCACAAUUGGAGUGAGUUUUAUUUGUUGUUUUCUUGAUACUUAGUUUAUUAGUCAACAAAAGUAACCUUAAAUUUUCUUUUCAUCUAAAUCUUUUUUUUGAGUUGGUGGAUGCCUUUGAAUAGUAAAAUGCGGAACUAUGAAAUUAAGGACAGUAUCAACUCCGUUCCUGUGGGAGGCGUGAGAAAAAUUAUUAGAAUUUUAUGCAAGAAUCUCAAGAGCCAGUAGCCCGGCUACGGUUCGAGCGAAGUCAGUAGCUUUGUUCAAAAUGGUAUAUUAAUAUUUAAAAAUAGUAAUUAUUAGAUAUAUACAGAUAAUAAAUUUAGAACCCAACUAUUAACACUUAUAAUCACAUUUCUAAAAUUUAGAACCUAUAAAAUUAAAAUUCUGGCUCCACUUCUCAUCAGAAUGCAUGUCGGUUCCAGGGGCGGAUCUAUGUAGAGCAGAGGGUAUGGUACACCACCCGCACGCUCGGAUAAAAGUUUAAAGUGUAUAUAUAUAUAUAGUAAUAUCUUGAGGAACGUUGAUAUUAAAUAUUUAAGGCGUGGCAUGCAAAGUAACUAAAUAACUAGAGGUGCCAGGUCACAGACUCAUUUUUUCAGCCAUGAUACCCAAGAUCGAGACCAACUAAUGGCCAUUCAAUUUCGGAAAAGGGCCAACAAUACCCCUACCUAAGGCUGGCAAGUGUGCCGGUCCAGGCCCGGGACCGCGGGCCAAACGGCUAAACAGGCCAGGACUGUUUGGUCCGGUUUUAGCGGGCCUGGUCCGGUCUCGUGGGCCGGUCCUAUGAUUUUGGCCCUUCAGGCCCGGGACCGGCCCGGUCCCUUAGCGGGCCAAACGGUCCCAACGGCUAUUUUUUUUUUAAAAUAAAUUAAAAAAAAUAAAUAAUAGAUGUUGGCAUGUCAAAAAUAGCCGUUGGCUAUUUAUAAAAUNNNNNNNNNNNNNNNNNNNNNNNNNNNNNNNNNNNNNNNNNNNNNNNNNNNNNNNNNNNNNNNNNNNNNNNNNNNNNNNNNNNNNNNNNNNNNNNNNNNNNNNNNNNNNNNNNNNNNNNNNNNNNNNNNNNNNNNNNNNNNNNNNNNNNNNNNNNNNNNNNNNNNNNNNNNNNNNNNNNNNNNNNNNNNNNNNNNNNNNNNNNNNNNNNNNNNNNNNNNNNNNNNNNNNNNNNNNNNNNNNNNNNNNNNNNNNNNNNNNNNNNNNNNNNNNNNNNNNNNNNNNNNNNNNNNNNNNNNNNNNNNNNNNNNNNNNNNNNNNNNNNNNNNNNNNNNNNNNNNNNNNNNNNNNNNNNNNNNNNNNNNNNNNNNNNNNNNNNNNNNNNNNNNNNNNNNNNNNNNNNNNNNNNNNNNNNNNNNNNNNNNNNNNNNNNNNNNNNNNNNNNNNNNNNNNNNNNNNNNNNNNNNNNNNNNNNNNNNNNNNNNNNNNNNNNNNNNNNNNNNNNNNNNNNNNNNNNNNNNNNNNNNNNNNNNNNNNNNNNNNNNNNNNNNNNNNNNNNNNNNNNNNNNNNNNNNNNNNNNNNNNNNNNNNNNNNNNNNNNNNNNNNNNNNNNNNNNNNNNNNNNNNNNNNNNNNNNNNNNNNNNNNNNNNNNNNNNNNNNNNNNNNNNNNNNNNNNNNNNNNNNNNNNNNNNNNNNNNNNNNNNNNNNNNNNNNNNNNNNNNNNNNNNNNNNNNNNNNNNNNNNNNNNNNNNNNNNNNNNNNNNNNNNNNNNNNNNNNNNNNNNNNNNNNNNNNNNNNNNNNNNNNNNNNNNNNNNNNNNNNNNNNNNNNNNNNNNNNNNNNNNNNNNNNNNNNNNNNNNNNNNNNNNNNNNNNNNNNNNNNNNNNNNNNNNNNNNNNNNNNNNNNNNNNNNNNNNNNNNNNNNNNNNNNNNNNNNNNNNNNNNNNNNNNNNNNNNCUUAGGACCAGGCCCGCGAAGCCCACUUAGGACCGGGCCCGGCCCACUUGCCACCCUUACCCCUACCGUAUUGAAAAUGGCUUAAAAAUACCCUGCGUUAACCUUUUGGUCCGUAAAUGCCCCUAACGUUUAUUUUUUUGGCUCAAACUUACCCCUAUAUCUAACUGAACUAACCUGGUCAAUUUUUUAAACUUUAACUUCGCCAUGUGGCAUUUUUUUAAUCCACCACGUGUAUUAUUUGUAUUAAAUAAAACCCACUGUAUCUUUUAAAAUAUCCAACGACCCUGGCCCGCUCCUAAAUAUUUGGACGGUCGGCUUAAAAUAAUUAUAUUCGCUAGUUAAAUAUAUAUAUAAAAAAUAUACAUUGAUUAUAUAUAAAAAUAUGUAUUAUUAUACAUUAAUAUUUUAAUGUAUAUUUACAUGAUAUUAUUUUUAGGAGAAAUUAUACGGUGUGGUUUUCCCUAUUAAUUAUGAUAUAUAACUCGAAUUUAUUAAGCAAAUCUGACAAUGGAACAACAGGUUUUGCUAAUAUUUUAGUUCUGUCAUUAUAUAUUAAAACACUAUUAGUUCCCAUUGAAAAGAACAUGUGAAGUCCAUUAAUUUUCUAAGCAGUUAGAUAUGUAUAUAAUUAAAGGUUUUAAAUAAUUUUCUUUUCAUCUGUUUCUUUGCUUCUCCUUUAGAAUCAUAUAAAUAGAACAUUAUCAUUUUUAUUUUUGCAAAUUAAAAUUUAUAUUUGUUAAACUUGUUAAGAUCUGUAAAAUUUGAAGGGAAAACUACACCGUAUAAUUUCUCCUAAAAAAGUUAUCAUGUAAAUUAUAUAUUAAAAUAUUAAUGUAUAAUAUAUAUAUUUUUAUAUAUAAUCAAUGUAUAUUUUUUAUAUAUUUAACUAGCGAAUAUAAUUAUUUUUAGCCGACCGUCUAAAUAUAUAGGAGCGGGUCAGGGUCAUUAGGUAUUUUAAAAGAUACAGGUGGGUUUAUUUAAUACAUAUAAUAUACGUGGCGGAUUAAUGUCACGUGGCGAAGUUAAAGUCAAAAAAUUGAUCAGGUUAGUUCUGUUAGAUAUAGGGGUAAGUUUGAGCCUAAAAACAAACGUUUGGGGCAUUUGCAGACCAAAAGAUUAACAGAGGGUAUAUUUGAGCCAUUUUCAAUACGUUAGGGGUAUUGUUGACCAUUCUGUUAGAUAUAUGGGUAAGUUUGAGCCCAAAAAUAAAUAUUAGGGGCAUUUGCGGACCAAAAGGUUAACGAAGGAUAUUUUUGAGCUAUUUUCAAUAUGUUAGGGACAUUUUUGACCCUUUUCCGAUUCAAUUUUGUUUCUCCUCUUGGCUCUCCUUCCUUUUUCCAUUUUUUCCAAUUCUUCUCUUUUUUCUUAUUUUCUUUUAUUUUCUUCAUCUUUGUAUUUCCUCUCUUUGUACAACCCCAUUUUUAUUAUACUUUUAAAUUAUUUAUUUCCUUCUUUUUUUUUUUUCUAUACCACAAAUUUUUUAUUUGAAUAUGAUUUUAAUCAUAUUUCUUUUUUAUCAUCUAAUGUGAAUUUUUCCUUGAUGUCAAAUAAAGGACCAAACAUCUUCGAUUUGGUUAUCGUGUAUUUAAUUAUGCACCAAAAAUUUUGUGGAACGAAAAAAUAAUUUAAAAUGGACCCGAAUCGACUUAAUUCAAGAAAGUGCGAGCCGACCAAAUGUAUACUCUAAUUCGACCAAAGAUAGAUUUGCAUUAAAUAUAGUGGCACCCAUAGUAAUCAAAUUCUGGAUUCGUCUUUGAUCGAUUCCAUACGAUCAUGUGGAGUGACACAAGAUUUGUCUCUUGACUUAAGUUCGAAUCGCUAUACUUGUCGAGUUAUUAUUAUUUUUUAUGGGGAUGUUAUUGAUUGUCAUGACAAGUAACUCAAACAAUAUGCUAAAAAGAAAAAACAUGUCAAGACAGUUUGUGUCACAUCGUUCCCUACAACAAGAGGGUAGAAUUCAGAUUUUAGAUUGGUCCACAUUAAUUACAACUCCUAAGAGUGUUGUCUAUGUGGAGUGGUAUAUUUUUACACUGUAAAUGCAAAUUUAACAUGAACUUUGCAACUUAAUAUAGUAUAUUUUCUUAGAGUAGAAGAGGAGUGCGGGUAUUCUAAUGGUCCAUGAAAAAGAAAUACUACCUUUGAAUCAUGAAGGUGUAGAAUAUUGAAGCACUAAGCAUGAGGGUUGAACAAAAUGGAAAUUUCCCUCCCCUCAUUUCUCUGGUCCAUUUGUCCUUAUCACCAUAAUUGUGGGUGUAGCGUCGGAUUUUAGGAUUUAAACUCUAUAGAUUCAAUUCUUUGAAAUUUUUAACUUUAAACUUAUUAUAUUUUUAAAGUUAAAGGUUCAUAUCUAUUAUUUAUUAUAAUUUUAGUAUAUUUUUACAUAUAAUUUAUGCUCCACGUUAAAAAUAUUGAGUUCAACUGAAUCCGAUUUGCUCCAGUGACACUAGAGUGAAUGAUUUUGGCAGGGGUAGCAGACAAGAGGGAGGGGUAUGUGGAGAGUGAUACGUAGCACAACUUUUCAAAUAUGUCGAAAGGUCAUGUAUUUAGGCUUACUUAACUAGCAUUUCAUUUGUAUAUUAUUUCCCCUUGAUAUUGUAGUGGACAAAGAUUGGCUUCAUUAUAGUAAUUAAUUUUCCAUCGGAGUGCACAUUUUUUCCUUGUCGUACUGAAAAAUCCAUGGCUUAACCAGAAAAUCAUGAUAAAUGAGUUUGCAUACUUAGUUUUUGAGUUUUUGCAAAAAUUGUGUUUGCUUUGCAAACUCAGUCUUUCAAAUCUUCCAAAAAGUCUAAAAAACUAUUAUUAUUAUUAUUAUUAUUCUUUUUCUUUUUUUUUUUGAAAAUUAGGAUUUUGUCACUGUAUACGGGUAAAACCGAGCCCAAUGAGCAUCCCGAUUUUCCGACGAGGCAAACGAAGCAGGGACGUGACUGUUCUUUGAGAUUUUAAUUUUAGGUCAACUUAAGAAUGUCAAACUCUCAAUCUGCGCACUUGAACGUUGAUGUUGAGUUUGGCCACCAUGAUGAAAACAACAAUAUAGUGCCUAGCAACGAGGUGCCCCCUGCUGACCACAACGGGGUCCCAGUUGCGGACCCGAUCGAUGCCAACUCGCAUGUGUCCACUGAUGCAAACCUGCCGACCGACCCCGAGAAGAGCGUCCGCGGAGGAGCCCGAUCAAUAGCCCGGGGUACGCAUUACGGUGAAGGCGAUUGGAUCAAUCUACAUGUGAUAUUCAAAAUGUUACAAGCUCAACAAGUGGCGAUAGCCCAGUUGCAGAACCAAAGUCGUGCCCCUAGCAGAGUUGAGCCCCAACUAUCCCGAGAAAACACUCGAAGAAACGAAUAGGUCAUGGGAAGGCUGGGUGAAGUUGAACCCGGAGCCAACCCCGAAAUAAUAAAUAUGCUUCAGGAACUGACGAAGAGGGUGGAAUCGGGGGAGAAGAAGAUUGAAGCCAACGACAAAAAAGUGGAGACCUAUAACUCCAGAGUUGACCAGAUCCCAGGAGCACCCCCGAUAUUGAAAAGCCUGGAUUCCAAGAAAUUUUUCCAAAAGCCUUUCCCCCCGAACGUAGCACCGAAGCCAAUCCCGAAAAAGUUCCGUAUGCCCGAAAUUCUGAAGUAUAACAGAACCACAGAUCCAAACGGGCAUGUGACCUCCUACACGUGUGCCAUCAAGGGAAACAACUUGGAGGAUGACGAAAUCGAGUCGAUUUUGCUGAGAAAGUUCGGGGAGACCUUGUCAAAGGGAGUAAUAAUAUGGUAUCACAACUUAUCCCCUAAUUCCAUCGAUUCAUUUGCUAUGCUUGCAGAUUUCUUUGUAAAAGCUCACGCCGAGGCCAUCAUGGUCGAGACCAGAAAAUGGGACCUUUUUAAAGUUAAACAAAGAGGUAACGAAAUGCUCAAGGAAUUCGUGUCAAGGUUUCAAAUGGAAUGAAUGGACCUGCCUCCGGUUGCAGACGAUUGAGCCGUUCAUUCGUUCACUCAAGGACUCAACCCCCAAAGCUCAUUGGCGUUACAUCAUCUGAAACAUAAUUUGAUGGAGUACCCGGUGGUAACUUGGGUUGACGUCCAUAAUAGGUACCAAUCAAAAAUCAGAGUCGAGGAUGAUCAUCUCGGGGCCCCCUCCGGGUCCGUUUAUCCCAUCAGAGCUAGUGAUAGGUCUAAAAAAGUCGUUGAUCAUGAGCCAAGACCGAACAAAAAUCGGUAUCAACCGUAUAGCGGGGAUCGAAGGGGUAGCGGAUCCGGGCGCCACCCUGCGAGGAAUGAAAAAAGGAGCGAUCGAGGCCACAAUAGCCGGGGACUCAUGAGUAAAAACCAUUUCGACAGGCUACUCGAGGACAGGGAGGCACUGAGAUUAUCGGAAUAUAACUUCAGUGUCGAUGCUACCAGUAUCGUAUCUGUAUCGGGCUCAUCAAAGAUACCAAGUGACAUCGGCCAUUGCAGUCCGACCCUACCCAAAAAGACCCUAACCUGAUGUGUAAGUAUCAUGGCACCCACGGUCACAUGACCGAGGACUGCCGAUAACUAAGAGAAGAAGUGGCAUGAUUAUUCAAUAACGGGCACCUCUGGGAAUUUCUGAGUGAUCGAGCCAACAAUCACUUCAGGAAUAUGGACUCCAACAAACAUACCGAACAAGAGGGACCUCAGUACGUCAUUAACAUGACCAUUGAUGGAGUCGAUGUCCCCCAAGGACCAAUACUAAAGCGCGCUAAGGUGUCCAUCACAAGGGGAAAAUGAACCCGAGAUUAUAUACCAAAGGGGCCCAUCUCUUUCAACGAUGAGGACACUGAAGGCAUCGUGCAACCGCAUACUGAUGCAUUGGUAAUAUAUGUACUCAUAAAUAAAUUUCGAGUUAAGCAUGUGUUAAUUGAUCCACCGGCCCCGACCGAAGUAGAGAAGCAAGAAGAAGGCGAGGAUGAUGAUUACAGAGUUCCUAGGUCGUUCAUCACCCCUGACGAUUUCGACGCCACCAAAUCAACGGCCGAGAAGCUAAAGCAAGUCAUAUUGACUGAACACUUGCCCGAUCAUAAGGUAUACAUUGGCACGGGAUUAAAUCCCGAGCUCAGGAAAAAACUCAUUAAAUUCCUUAUAGCUAACAUAAAUUAUUUCGCUUGGUCCCAUCUUGAUAUGACAGGGAUACCGCUAGAAAUCAAAAACGAGGUAUCCAAACUCCUUAAAAUAGGUUCCAUUCAGGAAGUUAAGUACCCAGAUUGGUUGGCUAACGUAGUGGCAGUGCCUAAAAAGGGAUUGCAUGAUCGAUGCAACAGUCGGGCAUGAGAUACUUAGCUUUCUCGAUGGCUAUUCCAGGUACAACCAAAUCCGGAUGGACCCGGGCGAUCAAGAAAAAACUUCCUUUAUCACUAAAUUCGGUACCUAUUGUUAUAACGUAAUGUCGUUCGAACUAAAAAACAUCGGUGCCACUUAUCAACGCCUAGUAAACCGGAUGUUCGAAGAACAAAUAGGAAAAUCAAUGGAAGUUUAUAUUGACGACAUGUUAGUUAAGUCCCUGCGAGCAGAGGACCGUUUGAAAUAUUUGCAGAAAAACCUUCGACAUACUGAAGAAAUACAAUAUGAACCUGAACCCGGAGAUAUGUGCAUUCGGGGUCGGAUACGGGAAGUUCCUUGGAUUCAUGGUGUCCAACCGAGGGAUUGAGAUCAAUUCCGAUAAAAUCAAAGUUAUAGAAGACAUCACCGUGGUGGACAGUGUCAAGGCCGUCUAGAGGCUAACCGGGCGCAUAGCCUCCCUGGGGUGGCUCAUAUCAAGGUCUUCUGAUAAGAGCCAUUGUUUCUUCUGAUAAGCCUUGGAAGAACUCAAACGGUACCUUUCGAGUCCACCCUUGCUUCAUACUCGAAGGCGGAUGAGCGGUUGUACUUGUACUUAGCGGUAUCCGAGGUAACGUUAAGUGGAGUCUUAGUUCGGGAAGAGGAAGGUACGCAAUUUCCUAUUAUUAUGUUAGUAGCACUCUAGGCUAGGCUGAUACAAGGUACCCUCACCUAGAAAAAUUGGCGCUCGCUUUGCUAAGCGCCUCCAGAAAGUUAAAGCCGUAUUUUCAAUGCCACCCCAUAUACGUCGUAACUUCUUACCCACUAAGGAAAAUAAUGCAUAAGCCCGAGAUCUCAAGCCAGUUGGCCAAAAUUUUGGCAGACUUCGUGGCCGACUUUACGCCGGCCUUAAUAUCCGAGGUCGAAAAUGAAUUGUUGCUAACCUCGGGGACUUCCUCAGGAAUCUGGACCCUCUUUACGGACGGUGCCUCGAACGCAAAUGGGUCUGGACUCGGCAUCUUGUUGAAGCUGCCUACGGGUAACGUAGUUAGGAAAUCUAUUAAAAUUGUGAAAUUGACUAACAAUGAGGCCGAGUAUGAGGCCAUGAUUGCAGGACUUGAAUUGGAUAAAAUCCUGGGGGCCAAAGUAGUCGAAGCUAAGUGCGACUCCCUCCUUGUGGUAAAUCAAGUCAAUGGGAUGCUCGAAGUAAAAGAAGAACGAAUGCGAAGGUAUUUAGACAAAUUAUAGGUAAUGCUGCAUCGAUUCAAGGAAUGGACCCUAACUUGGGGUCAUCGAUUGCUGACGAUGAAUUCAACUCAGUAACGGUCGUACAAUUCAUGAAAUCGGUAGUGGAAGAAGGCCAUGCCGAAAUAAACUCAACAAGUUUAACUUGGGAUUGGAGAAAUAAGUAUAUAGACUACUUGAAGACUAGGAAGUUGUCCUCAGAUCCUAAAGAAUCGAGAUCUCUACGCACGAAGGCGGCUAGGUUCAGCCUAUCCAAAGGUACUCUGUUCAGAAGAACAUUCAACGGCCCGCUCACCAUAUGCUUAGGGCCAGGAGACAUCGAAUAUGUUUUGAGGGAAGUUCAUGAAGCCACCUGCGAAAACCAUUCGGGGGCAGAAUCUUUGGUUCGUAAGAUAAUCAGAGCCGAUUAUUACUGGAUCGAUAUGGAGAAAGAUGCAAGGGACUUCGUACGAAGAUGCGACGCCUGUCAUAGGCAUGCACCGAUGAUCCACCAGCCCAGAGAGCUACUACAUCCGAUCUUAUCACCUUGGCCGUUCAUAAAGUGGGGAAUGGACAUUGUUAGUCCCUUACCAUGGGAACCCGGUAAGGCUCAAUUCAUACUGUUUAUGAACGAUUAUUUUUCAAAGUGGGUCGAAGCUCAAGCGUUCUAGAAGGUCCGGGGAAAAGAAGUCGUCGACUUCAUUUGGGACCACAUAAUAUGCCGGUUCGGAAUACCGACCAGAAUAGUGUGUGAUAACGGGAAGAAGUUCAUCGGCCACAAGGUAAAUAAAUUUUUCGAAGACCAUAAGAUCAAAAAGCUCUUGUCAACACCAUAUCACCGUAGUAGGAACGGACAUGCAAAAUCAACAAACAAGACCAUACUUCAAAACCUAAAUAAAAGGUUGACUGAUGCCAAAGGGAAAUGGAAGAAAAUACUACUCGAAGUAUUGUGGGCAUACCAUACAACCUCUAAAUCUAGUACUAGGGCCAUUCCAUUUUCAUUGGUCUACGAUGCCGAAGCACUAAUACCGAUCGAAGUAGGAGAACCGAGCCUCAUGAUUCGAUAUGCGACCAAGGAAUCAAAUGGUGAGGCCAUGAGCACGAGCCUAGAACUAUUGGAUGAAAGGUGCGAGGCCAGCCAAGUUCGGUUAGCCGCCCAAAAGCAGUGGAUAGAAAGGUAUUACAACAGAAUAGCCAACCUCCGACACUUUAAUAUCGGGGACUUGGUGUUAAGAAAAGUAACACUGCACACCCGGAACCCGAAUGAAGGAAAGCUGGGGCCGAAUUGGAAAGGACCAUAUUGAGUCAUUGGAAUUACCAAUAAAGCUUCAUACAAACUCGAAGCAGGAAACGGUGCACAACUAUCGAACAACUGGAACGUGACGCACUUAAAGCGGUACUACUGCUAAAGUAUGGCCUCAUUCACCUUUUUAUAAUAUUACGAAUCGGACUAACAUUGCCAGCAACAACCAAAGGAGAAUAUGACUAUUAGGUCUGAAAGCACGCGUUGCACUCUUUUUUCCUUGAACCGGUUUUGUCCCAAAUGGAUUUUCCGGCAAGUUUUUAACGAGGCAACAGUAAAUCGUGCUAACUUAAAAUCGAAGAUCGGUUUUAAAUCAGAGUUAAUGGUCUCAUCAACAGUAUCUGAACCCUCUCAAGAUCAAACUCGAAUACUGGGGGCCAUCACCCUCGGAUCGAGCUUCUUAGCAAGGAAAGAAAGAAACUUUGUGCUUGAACAGUUUAGGUUCGGUGGUUAAAAUUUAUUGUCAUGGUCAAACAUUCAUGUGAAUCGUGCCCGCAUAGGCCACCUUAGUCAUAAUACAAGCUUUUACACGCUUUCAACCUUGUACUUUACACACAGAGAUGAAAGAAAAUUUCUACCUUGCUAUUAUAAAUUUUUGCCUCUUAUAACAUCUAGCCUAAGGGCUAUCCCUACCCGGGGACUAUCAAGCCCAAGGGCUACCCAUAUCCGAUCCCAAGGGCUGCCCUUACUCAGGGACUAUCAUCCGAAAUAAGUUAAGGCAACUCGGGUUAUCAAAACCCGAAGACGCAAAACCUAUUAGGUAGUGCCUAAACCCGAAAGGCUACGACCACCCUAAAAAUGGUUUGGAGACGUCCAAAUCCCGUAGUCAAAAAGUAAGGCCUUCAACAAAAUUCUAAACUUGCUGAAAGGUUACCCUCGGCAAAGGCAUCGUCUAAGAAUACUUAAGCAUCCUGGAAAAACUUCCGGUCACUCCGAGUUUUCAAAAGUUUCGAGCAAAAAUUGCAUUGAGGUCGGGUUCUGUUCGGACCUCCGAAAAAUAAAUGACUUAUUACUAGGUUUGAUUCUGUGCUAAGGCAUUAGAAAUAUUUGCAAUUUUGAAAAUAUGCUAAAAUAGUAGAGACUUGAAAUUGCCAAAAGAAAUUUUUUAUAUAUUCCGGAAUAUCUUUACAAAAGCCCAACAAAAAUGGCCUCGAAAUAAACAAAAAAUAUGUGCAGAAUACAAAAACUAAAACAUCCUAAGACAUUCAUGUAUGGUCUUCACCGGAGCCCGAUUCGUCACCAGGACCAUCGGGGUCUUCAGAUUCUUCGGAGCCCUCCUCACCUUCUGGUUCAGCUAGCUUCUUCGCCUCGACCUCAAGUCUUUUUGCCUCCUUGAUCUCGGCAGAUAGGUCGAAGCCUCGGGCAUGGAUCUUUUCCAGGGUCUCCCUUCAACAUAGCCGCCUCACGUACUCAACAGUGGUCUUCAGGCGGGCCUCGUCUGCUUUGACAUAGGCCUUGUAUUAAGCCACCAUCUCGUCAGCAUAGGCCGCGGUUAUCUCCAACUUGGACCUCGUUACUUCAAGCUCUUUACCAAGGGAGUCCCGUUCAGUGAUGAUCGAGUCCAGUUGCGUUCGAAUAUCAUCAUUUAGCUGAGCUCAUUUAUCAGCUUUCUCCUUCGCCACCCGAAGUUGAACUUCUACCGAAGACUGCUUUGCCUGGCGGUUUCCUUCUCUGAGGCCAGCAGAUCUAUCUUGCUUUUCCACCGAUCGGCCAUCACUUGGAUUUCGUCCAUCUUCUUUUCAGAGUUGGUCGAUCUUCUGCUGGACCUGUGAGGUAUUUUCAUUAGCCACUGAGACAUGUUCCUUGUUUAUAACUUCAAAAACCUUUACCUUUUCAACUACGUCGGCGUGCUCCCGUCUUAGGACCGAUGCCUCUUUCUGAGCCCCAUCCAGCUCGGCCUGAAGGUUCUUAAUGACCCCUUCUUGUUUCUCGCUGAGAAGCUUAUACAUAUCCUUUUUCUGGGAAAGCUUCUUGACCUCAAGCUCGAGCUGAUUCACCUCAACCUAGUACUGAAGGAAGCUCUCGUGAUGAAGUACCAAGGCCUGCAAAAAGAUGAAAAAUGUGAGAAUUAUCAAAACCUAAAUAAAUUUCGAAGGAGCGUAAUGAUUCCUUACCCGAUUCAGCGCCUGUUGUGCCUUAUUGAAAAGGCACGUCACAUUUACCUCAUUCAUUUUUGUCUGGUCCUCCUCGGUCACCAGGCAUCGGAGGUAGCUAGUUAUCCCCACAGGAGCAGGAAAAACCCAGGCAUCCUCCGGGAUAGUCAGAAUACUCGAUCUUUUGCGACCGGUGUCCACACUCGGAGCAGGGAACUGGUUGAUCCAUUUCGGGAUCGAACUCGGCCCGCCAGCUUCGGAGGAUGUGUCCUUCUUUAGAACUUCCAGGUCACCCAGCCUAGAGAAAUCUUCUAAAGUGGACGAGUCCACACUAUCGAAAAAGGAGUGAAGGGGAUCGUCAGUGCCGUAGACUCAUUCAUUGGACAUCUCCUUUAUUGCUUGAGCCUCCUCGAGCAUAGACUCGGUGUAAGAGGGCGUCCCCAAAAUCUCUAUUAUACGAGGCACUUUCUUCGGAGCGGAGCCGGUGUCCUGAGGAGUCUCACCCCGGGUCUCCACAUCAAUCUCAUGAGUUUGAGGGGGUCGAUCUCACGAGUCUCCCCCUCGGAUGCUUCUUGCUCCCCGGGAAAGGUCCUCCCGUGGUAAUGAAAAUAAGCUCAUCCUCCAGCUCGUCCCUGAGCCGGAGGAGAGAGUCAUAGUACGGCACCUGGAGCUAGAGCUCUUCCUAGGCUUGCGAGCCAUCCUCUUCUUUGGUUUCUUCACCUUAGAGCUCGGGGAGCUCGAAGGUUUUCUCUUCCUUUUUUUCUUUUCCUCCACGGCAUCCCUGGGCUGCCCCGCAAUGGAGGGAUUAAUGGACAAGGACACGUCCUCGUCCCCUUCCAAAGGCCUAAGUUCGGUGAUCUUAGGAAAACCUACAACAGCAGAGGGAAAGGAAAGUCAGUAUGAUGAAAUAUAGAAACAUGGUAUUAACUAUUCAGAAAGAAGCCUUACCAUGAGAACGGGCCUCCCAUCGGCCCUUCGAGAGACCGCGCUUGCGCGCACAGAGUACGUCAUCUGAGUACAGAUGCCUUUGAUCCAUUCUUUUAGCCAGGGGACUGCAUUCGGAACCCGAGCGACAGCUGCACAACUACAAGUAUGAAUGAGAAGAAAGAAAUUGAAGGAAAAUAAAAUCUUUGACGCUUAAAGAGAGAUUGCACUUACGAGAUGUAUUCUACUUCUUAGGGAAUGACAUGUACUCGGGGGGAAUCAAGUCUUCGGUAUUCACCGGAACGAAGCGUCCCUUCUAGCUGCGGUCUCGGUCUUCGUCGAUACUCAAAAAGGGGGCCUUGCUGGCCCGACAAGUAAGCUUGAUCAGUCCCCCUAGGAAAAUUUGAGGACUGUAUAAUCGAAGUGGAUGAUCGAUUGUGAACCGACGAGACUCGGUCUUGUUUAUGAAGUAGCGAAGGAGGAUCACGAUCCUCCAUAAUGAUGGAUGGAUUAUCCCGAGGCACACCUCGUACCUCUUGUAAAACUCUAGAAUAAUCGGGUCCAUCGGGCCUAGUGUGAAGGGGUAAAUGUAAACACUUAAGUACCCCUCCAUGUAGAUGGUAAUGGUGUCCUCGGGCCCGGGGACUACUACAUCCUUGUCUUCCCAAUUACAGUCCUUUAGGACCAUGGGAAGAACGUCUUCGGUCACGGAGCAUAUGUAACUCGAUGCUCCUUCACCCCGAUCCUAUUUGUGUGAGAAUUUCUCGACCUUAAAAUCAUUUGCAAUUGAGCAGCCCCCGGGAAUGAACACUUUCAAGGGAGGAUUGGGGGCCGGUUCAUCGGCAGCCACCUCGGGGGAAGCUGUUCCGAGGGCAACUACUUCAAGAGUAACCGCCUCAGUACCGACGGUCGGUUGGGAAGAUGAAGAGGCAACUUGUUGAGGAGCAAAUUUGGAUGUUUUGGCCAUUAUUAUCUGGGAGAGGUUUGAAAAUUUGAAGAAAGAAUGCGAAGUUUUGAAAGAACGAGUUUUGAAGAUGAAGAACAAAGUAUGAAGAUUUGAAGGAAAUCUGAGUAAAAAACUGGAAAUCACUAUCAAAAUUGAAUAACAAGGAUGAAUAAUUGAAGGUUUGGAAGAAGUUUGAUGAUAGCCAGAAAGCUCGAAGAUAAUAGCUUGGUCAAAAAGUAGGAAAAGAACAAAGGAUAGAGGCUUUUAUAGGGAAACAGGAGACGCUUCGCAUUUGAGGGUAACCAGCCGAUGAGCGCCACGUGUCCGAAGUCAGAACGAUGUGACUGAUGGGACAUUUCAGCUCCUUCGUCGUAACGUACGAAGGAAGGAACCAGAGAACAUUUGUUAUUUCCCCAUCAUUUCGGCAAGCCUACUCUUAGAGAAAUGAGGGGACUAUCUGUAUAUGGGUAAAACCAAGCCUAAUGAGCACCCCGAUUUCCCGUGCAAGGCAUACGGAGCAGGGACGUGACUAUAAGGAAUAAGAGUCAGGAGCCUCUCGUAUCAGGUCUCGAUCAAAACACCUACCCUCGGAUCCAUCGGGACCACGUCCUCCGGGUUUGGCUCGAGCCCCAAGACUUCAGAGAGCAUUAUCGAACCACCACACACGACUAGCAAAUGGCCGUGAUAUUCGUGCCCGGCCAGAUAUCACGGCGUGAAUCUCGGCCCGUAUCGGCAGAAAAUCAGUGACUAGCGAAAAAGAAGAUUUUUACCUUUCUUAGAAUUAUACCUAGGGAAAAACUCCCCUACUAUAUAAAGGGGAAGCUAAUUAUUCAUUAAACACUCUGUAACACACAUAUCAAGGCAAUAUGCUUCUACUUUCUCUGUUUCUAAAAGUUAUUCAAAGUUCUUGUUUUAGUUCAUAAGUUCUUCAUACGAGCUAGCUCGGAACCGAAGGCAGGUUCCUUGUUAAGCCUUUAACCGAGCUCGGACUCACUAUCAUCAUCGAUUUUGCUAUUUACUUUAUCUUUUAUUUGCUUAUCUAACAUCGUUAAUCAUUUGUAUUGAAUUAGUUCACAUAUCCUUAAAAUCGCAUAUAAAUUCAAUUAUUAUCCAAUUUUAAGGGUAAACAGUCACGAUUUAUGACAACGCAAGUUCUGGCCAUCAACUUUAAAUCUUUAGAUUUGUGGCCAAAUUCUAACGAUUUGUAAAAAUUUGGCAACAAAUUCUAGCGAUCCAAAAGUUUUGCCCAUGAAAUUGAAUCUUGGCUAUUCGCCAAGAUUUGCUAUCUAAUGGAGGGAUCGAAUCAGAUUUUUAUAAAACAUUUUAAAACUAGGUCAAAAUUUAUACAGUGACACUAAAAUAUCAUUUGGUGCAAAUCUCUCAAACAUGUUUGUACUUUCUUUAUCCAUUGGAUGUUUGAGUUUUUCUAGAUAAUCAAAAUAUUAUUGAAGGUCAACCGACGUAUGAUUCAAAAUUCGGUUGAUAAUUGAUUCAUUCUUCUACCCUUAUCUACUUAAAUAUUACUUUUAUAUUUUUAUCUACACAUAGUUUGACCUCAUGAUGUACGAUUAAUUAACCCACAUGUGCUACGCUCGUACUACUGGAUUAGAGUCUCUGGAGCAUUCAAUGUUUGAGUUGUUUAGUACUCUUGAAUACACAACAUGUGAAGCUUGAAUGGAGAGCUUUCAAAGUUAAAAGGAAAUAAGAUUUUCACAUAUAAAAUUGAUUUUAUAUAUAUAGUGUAAUUUUUUAACAAAAGAAUGUAAACUCCCUUCCACCCCACUAGCUCAGCCCAUGGCUCCUUUCAUUCACGAGUCACGACCAAGUUUUUGUUUUGUAUUGUACUUCGUUAGAAUCUGGAUGAAGAAUUGAAAAAACAACUCUCUAUGUGGUAAUAAUAUUGGAAAUGCUCCAAAUAGGUCUACAUAAUUAAUUGAUAGCCGAAAAAAUGUCUUAUCUUGUCCAUGUUUAUUCAUGUUGCGAAAGAUCGUGGGUUAACUAGCACAGAAUCACACACAAAGCAAAUAGAGAAGAAAAAUCAACACAAGGAUUUAACGAGAUUCGGCUAAGUCUAAUCCUCGGAGCAGAAGCAAAUAGAGUUUUUCACUAUGAAUGAAAAUAAAAACACAAUACAAUCUUUAGAAUCCCUACCUACAAUCCCUAUAUAUAGAUCUCAAAUAGUCUCAAACCUAUAAGAGAAAGGUUUCUCAAUUUGACAAGGACAUAAUUCAAGCCACAAAUAACAAAUCUUCCCCUUGGCUUGAAUUCUCUUCAUCAACAAGAACAACGUCUCUCUACCUUGCCAUCAGCCCUCGCAAGGGCUCUACCCAUUGCCGCACACAUCAAACAAGUUUAGGAAAUGCCUAAACUUAUUAAGAGACUCAAUCUAUUUAGCCAUAGCACUAAUCCGUCGAUUUGGUUUUGUACUCUGAAUAGCUUCUGGAUAGCUAUAACACUCAAACGCAUCAAUGGUCUCUGCAACUGCCAAAUCAAAUCCCACAUGAUUUGUAUAUCCAAGAAGAUUCACAUUAACUACGUUUGCAAAUCUUUGCGGUUGGUUAAUCACUCUCUUCUCUCUACCUGUUGCAAUGCUAUAUGGUUGUUGUUGCGCAAGUGAAUCAACGUUAUCAUCUUGAUCAAUAUUUUUCACCUCAUCUACUUCCUCUACUUCCUCUACUUUAGAACUACUGGGCUGAGCUAGUGGAGAUUCAAUUUCUAGCUCUAUGCGGUCACUGACACCACGAUCUAUUUCUGCUAUUGCCUUCUCCCUCUAACUGUCCAGUGAUGCAGAUUCAUUAAAUGUUACAUCCCUACUAAUAAUUAGCCCUAGAGCUUUUUGAUCUGUGCACCACAACCUAUAACCUUUCACUCCAGUUGCAUACCCUAGAAGUAUGCACUUAUUUGCCCUCAGCUCAAGGUUUUCGUCCCUCACAUGAGCAUAAGCAGUACAACCAAAUAUCCUUAAAUUUGAGUAAUCAGCAGGCGAAUUGGACCAUGCCUCAAAAGGAGUUUUGAACUCAAUAGUCGUGGAUGGAGAUCUGUUGACCAAAUAACAAGUUAUAUUGAUUGCCUCAGCCCAAAAAUCCUUGCUAACACAUGAGUGUGAAAGCAUGCUUCGUGCCCUAUCACAAAGCAUUUUGUUCAUAAGUUCUACAAUAUCAUUCUUUUGUGGUGUUCUAACAUAAGUGCGGUGUCUCACUAUGCCCUCUCUGCUGCAUAAAUUAUCGAACUCAGAAUUACAAAAUUUCAACUUAUUGUCAGUUCGAAGACGCUUAACUUUUCUUUCCAUCUGCCUCUCAACUAUCGUCUUCCAUUUAACAAAUGUCGAAAAUGCCUCAUCUUUUGUUUUCAGAAAAUACAGCCACACCAUCCUUGAGUAAUCAUCAGUCAAAGUCAUAAAAUACCUGGCACCACUCUUGGAAGGAACUCUACUUGGACCCCACAAGUCUGAAUGUAUAUAAUCUAACUUGUCUCUGGUCCUGUGCUCGACCUUCUUGCUCAACUUUACCCUUGUAUGUUUACCAAACACACAAUGCUCACAAAAUUUCAAAACUUGAUUUUUGUAUCCAUUCAUCAAAUUCUUCUUACUCAACAAAGACAAUCCAUUCUCACUCAUAUGACCAAGUCGCAAGUGCCAUAACUGAGACCGAUUCUGAUCACUUUUCCCAGAAGGUAUAGCAACUUCUCCUUCAGCUAUGCUGGCCUAAAGAUGAUACAAUUUAGAAUGCAGUUUACCUUUUAUGAGUACCAUAGAGCCUUUACACACUUUAAGUAUUCCAUUAUCAGAGUGAAACUUAUACCCUUGAUCAUCCAAUGUCAAAAGAGAGAUCAAAUUUCUCUUUAUCCGAGGAACAAGCCAACACUCAGUGUUUCUGAUAAUUUCAUCAAACAUUCCUAAUUUGAUGUUACCAAUCCCCUGUACUGGUAAUGGAAUAUCAUCUCCCAUGUAGACAGUCCCACUCAUUACUUGCAAGUUGCAAACCAAUUAUUGUGUGGACACACAUGGAAAGUAGCACCAGAAUCAAGAACCCAAGAAUUCUACCCAUGACUAGAACUCACAACACAUACUUCCCCUACAUAGUCACUAUCAUUAGAAUUAUUUCCAGUGUCAAUAAUAUUUGCCAAAUUAUCUAUUUUUGUUUCCCUCUUUUCUCCUUCAACUUAGGAUAAUCUCUCUUGUAGUGACAUUGUUGUAACGACACGACCGAUCGUUUUGAGCAUUUUCACUUUGCUCGGUAGUUUGAGGGCAUGAGUAGCUCCGUAUAAUCUAUUAUGACUUGUGAGAAUCGUCGGUUUUCAUUUUCAGGUUAUUCGGAAUUGAUUUGGAAUAACGAUUCUCAACUAGGAAGCUUUAAGUUAGAAGAGUUGAUCGAGUUUCACUUUUGUGAAUUUGACCUCGAAAUGGAGUUUUGAUGAUUCCAAUAUCUCUGUAUGGUGAUUUUGGACUUAGGAGCGUGUUCAAAAAAUUAUUUCAAAGUCCGUAGUUAAAUUAGGCUUGAAAUGGCUAAAAUAGAAAUUUAAGUUUGGAAGUUUGACCGGGGAGUUGACUUUUUGAUAUCGGGGUCGGAAUCUAGUUCUGAAAAUUUUCAUAGGUCAGUUAUGUCAUUUAUGACUUGUGUGCAACAUUUGAGGUCAAUCAGACUUGAUUUGAUAGGUUUCGGCAUCGAAUGUAGAAGUUGGAAUUGCUUAGUUUCGUUAAGCUUGAAUUGGGUAUGAUUCGUGAUUUUAGCAUUGUUUGAUGUGAUUUGAGGUUUCGACUAAGUUCGUAUCGUGUUUUAAGACUUGUUGGUAUGAUUGAAUGGGGUCCCGAGGGGCUCGGGUGUGUUUUGGAUCACUGGUUGAGAAACUAUUUAAGUUAAGGAUUUGGAGUUUGACCAUGGUCAAUAUCGGGUCAAGAUAACCUCUUUUCGGUGCUGCGAGUGCGCGAGCAGGUUCGUAGCAUAUUUUAUGAUUGAAGCACAUAUAUGUUUUGUGUCUGGGAGUUCCGAAUGAGUUUUGGGUACUAAAAUGAAAAUUCUUUCAUUGCUGAUUUUCUCGUGUAAAAUAAUUACGAAAAUGUCAAUUUUUUAUCCCUUAAAUUUCUAGACUUGAUUUAAAUCUUCAAAACAUCAUAUCUCCCUCAUUUUAAGGCCAAAUUGGGUGAUUCAAAAGCCUAACUUGACUGAAUUUUUACAAGGAAUCAACUAAAAUCAUCAAAAGAGAGUUUUAGAAUUGUUUGGGACAUUAAACGAGGCAGAACUACUGGGCAAAACAAUAUUUAAUAUCGAGGGUUUGUUCAUUUUCCAUUUUUGACGAAUUGGAGCUCGAGAAGAGGCGAUUUUCGGGAGAUUUUUAAGAAAAAUAAUGGGGUACGUGUUCUUAACUCAAUAUUGGUUAAAUUACCCAAAUCCAUAGUUAUUUUCAAUAUUUAAUUGGUGAAUUAAGUUGAAAUAUUUAGAAAACCCGCUUGGUUUAAUUUGAGGAUUUGAGGGUUGAUUUGAUGUCGGAAUUUGGUAAAAUUUUGUAUGGUUGGACUUGUGGUUGAAUGAGCGUUCGUAUUUUGUAAAUUUUGUCGGGUUCCGAGACGUGAGCCCCACGAGCGAUUUUUGAGUGUAAUUUCGAAUUGUUUGGGAAAAUUAGUAUUUUGAUAUAGAAUUAAAUUCUAUAAUUUGUGUUGACUGAAUCGAAUUAAUUGUGACUAAAUCUGAGCCAUUCGGAAGUUGAUACCCGCAGAAUGAUAUUUCUGGAGCAUUGUUUAGCUUGCUCGACAUUGGAUUCGGCUUGUUCGAGGUAAGUAACAUCUCUAAUCUUUGAGCUGAGGGUAUGAACCAUGAAUAUACGUGUUAUGUGAAUUGUUUGGAGGUGACGCACAUGCUAGGUGAUGGGAGUAUGGGCGUGCAUCGUAGAAAUUGAGACUCAAUUGAUUCCGUAGAGUUGUUUAGUCAAUUAACUUGUAUUCUUUUAUGUAUUUUUAUUUGUUAGAGAAACUUAGUUGUGACACAUGUUAGAAAUCAUGCUUAGGCAAAUGUUGGUAUUAUUAGGACCCACUGAGGUCAUUUCUACUGUCGAAUUAUAUGUUUAACUAUAAUUUCAUACUCAGUCAUAUCCAUUCAUUGCAUAUCACAUCUCAGUCUUUGUUGUUAUUUAUUGAUACAUCAUAUCAUCAUUUUGGGAUAGUUUCAUGACAUUGUGAGCCCGAGAGACUAGAGAGAUUGAUGACUGAGUGAGGGUGAGGACCUGACUGUGAGGAUAAUUAUGGGAUCGGGAUGCACGCCGCAGCAGUCCAGAUUGGCUUAUUAUAGCACGUGAGUUGUCCGUGCAUCACGUGAGUUGUCCGUGCAACACAUGAGUUAUCCGUGCAGCACGUGAGUUGUCUGUACAGCACGUGAGUUGUCCGUACAGCACGUGAGUAAUCCGUGCAGCACGUGAGUUAUCCGUGCGGAUUCAGAUAUUGAUACUAUAGCACGUGAGUUGUCCGUGCGGAUCCAAAUAUUGAUACUAUAGCACGUGAGUUGUCCGUGAAGAUUAUAGCGCUUGGGCUGAAGGAGCCCCUCCGGAGUCUGUACACACCCCCAGUGAGCGUAGGUACCUACUGAGUGCGAGUGCCGAGCGAUUGGGAGGACUGAGUGACUAUGAGGACUGAGUGACUGGGAUAACUGAAUGAAUUGAUACUCUGAGAGUAUGCAUAUGAUUUUAUUAAUGAGUUGCUUCGCAUUGACAUGCACACUUGACAUACAUGCAUAGAGAUGCAUUUUUUCUCAUGUUGUACGAUAUUGCGUCAUUCAUGAAUUUACAUACUCAUUGACAUGUAAGCAUAGAGAUGUAUUUUCCUCAUGCCAUUUGAAAAUGAAAUAUCCUAUCUAUUGUUGAAAAGUUUUUGGGAAAAAUCAUAGUUUUACAAAACGUACUCAUAUUUUGGUGAUUUCGGUAAAACAAAUUGGGUUUUUACUGAUAUACUUGAAAAGCAUGCCUAUUUUCCUAAAACUGCGAAUGAGUUAAGGAUUUUAUCUCUGAGCUACUUCUUUUAUUACUUCUAUUAUGUUGUUAUGAACUGUUAUUGACUAUUGGUGUUGGACCCUGACCUUUGUUCUAGCUCGUCACUACUUUCAACCUAAGGUUAAGUUUGUUACUUAUUGAGUACAUGAGGUCAGUUGUACUCAUACUGCACUUCUACAUCUUGCGUGGAUAUAUUGGAUGUUGAUGUUGCCGUGAUCGACGAGAGCUGGAUUUGAAGAUGUACCUGUGUUCCGGUCAUAGUUUCCUCUUGUUCAUGGUAGCCUUAAAUUUAUAAAAAUCUAUUUAUGUACAUUUCGAACAGAUAAUGUAUUUAUUUCAUACCUGCUUAUAAAUUCUAAUCUUAGAAGCUCAUGAUUUGUACUUCCAGUCCUUGGGGAGUGUAUUAGAGUCAAUUAAAUAUUAUUGGAAUUGGAUAGUUAUUAGUUGGCUUACCUAGCGGGUUGGGUUAGGUGUCAUCACGACUAGUUGGAUUUUGGGUAGUGACAAGUUGGUAUCAGAGCUCUAGGUUUCAUAAGUUCUACAAGUCGUGAGCAAGUGUCUAAUAGAGUCUUGCGGAUCGGUAUGAUGACGUCCAUACCUUUCUUCGAGAGGCUACAUGGCAUUUAGGAUAAUUUCUCAUCUUUAUUUCCUUAUCAUGCAGAAUUGAUUCAGCUUGAAACAUAACUCUUUCAAUUUCUUCCACGCAUUUGUGUGCGCAUGUGAGCGCUCGGUAUCAGAUGUGCAUCGCCGGCUUGUGAUUCCAUGAAUGAGGUUCGAGAUGUGUAUUCUGUGUUUUGGUGAUUGGCCAGUCUGGAGGACUUGAGGCCAGGUUUAGACCGCAGCUUAGGCUCGGUAGCUUCAGUUGUGUGAACUUGUACAUUUGGACUCAUAUGUCCGGUAGUGUCCCUAUGAGUGGAAUUUGUCGCUCGAUGAGCGGUUGAAUAGCUAUACGAUGGGCAUGAUAUGACUACGAAAUGUGUUCAGAUGGUUUGAUUGUGACGAGAAUAGUUUGCUUGAGAUGUAAAAAAACAAAAGGGCCAUUGGGUGCUUGGUGUCUGUCUUGAUUUGACAUAUAGUCUCGAGUAUGAAUGUGUUGAAGGAUCUUUCAUGCUGUUUAAUUGUGGAGCGAAGUAGAUUUUCACGUCUUGUUGAUGAGUUCGGACUUAGGGAGAUUAAGUGAUCGCGUAGUGAUUGUGGCUGUGAAAGGGUAUAUCAAGAUGUCAAUUUUAGGCUAAGCAUGUGGGUUAUCUCGUGCGGAGUAAUCUACAGAGGUAUGCUCCUUAUAAUAUUUAGUAGAGAGUUUUUUUUCUACCAGCAAGGUGUAUGUGUUGAGAUUUGAAUUUAAAUCUGGUUGAGAAAUUUGACUUGACUAUCAAGAGAAAUAAAUGCGAUCUUAGCGGAUGAUUUAGGUAUUUUAUGGUUGGUGAUGCAUGAGCUUGUGAAGAAUUUAGUUGAAUCUCACUGUAGUAUCAUGGCAGUAAUACAGUAUGUGUAUUGUCAGUUAUUGAAUGUCAUGAUCUAUGGCUUUGAGCCAAGUGGGGAGCAUGCUGUUGACGGUUUAAUUUCAUGGUUAUAUGUUAAAUUUUAGUUUGGGUCAGAGGCAUACUUGUGGUUUAGUUAUGACUUGCAAAGGUUGAGAUCGAGGAUAACUCGAGUAAAGGAAUUUCUGGAUAUGAGCUAUGUUACACUUUAUGUGUAUAUGGAAAUCAUGGAAUAAGUUGAGUUGUUAUUCGUGACGGAUGUAAUGUGCACGGUGUAUGAAUUUGCUCGGUUGCGUUAAGGCAGGGUUACUUAUUUGGGAGUGUUGUUGUGCUAAUUGAGCAUAGGCAAUUCGGCCUGUUCGAGCAGUGCAAUUUGGAUUUGAGCAAAGUGGGUGACUCUUGAGAAGGUUCUAAUGGGUUCGAGAUUUAUAUAUAGCAAUUGAGAAUUUUUGUUUCCGGACUUGUGUGUGAAUAGAAUCUGAAAUUUGCAUUUGAUGGUGCCGGGUCUUGCGGUAAUUCUUUAUGACUAUGGAUUCUACAUUCUAGUAUAAGAAAGGUAAAAGAACAAAUUUAAAUUCACAUAAGGUACUUUCAGAGUGGGCGAUUCGGUUGUGGUACUUAUGGGGGCGCUUAAGAAGAAUACAAUGGCUUAUGGGCCUUAGGGCGAUGUCGUUUUAUAUUAGGAUGUCUUGUAGUGAUCUUUGGAUAAGGAUCAUAAUGUUCUAACAAGGAGAAGUGUCAACUUGAGGUUAAUUCAGAAGAAACUAAGAGAAAAUAGGACAACUAGGUAGUAGGCUAGACUAGUAUGGUAAUGGUAUGCUCGGUUCUUUUGGGUAAUUAUGAUGUGGUGAGUCUCUAAAGAUGUUUUGUGCCAAUAAUCUUGGGUUUGGCGACUUGCGUGACUUGGUUGAAUUAGAGAGAUUCAGUUCUAAUGGACUGGUUAUGUGAAAAUGGGUUUUGAAGAGUUCUCUAUGAUUUCUAUCAUGGUUCGAGGUGGAUAUUUCCUAUUGGCGUGAAGAACAUGUUGCGUAUUGAGAUUUUCUCCUAGAUGAAAUCAAAUGGAAGGUUCCUGGCUAAUUGAGUAUGUAGUUUGCUAGUGAUCAGAGUUGAUUAUGAGAUUCUCGUACCUUUUCAUAUGAUAGAAUGAUAGAUGCGAUGUAUUGUGUAGGAUUGAGAUUUGUAUGUGCAAGGUCACAAUUCAGUUUUGAAGGGAAGGCCAUGAAUUCNNNNNNNNNNNNNNNNNNNNNNNNNNNNNNNNNNNNNNNNNNNNNNNNNNNNNNNNNNNNNNNNNNNNNNNNNNNNNNNNNNNNNNNNNNNNNNNNNNNNNNNNNNNNNNNNNNNNNNNNNNNNNNNNNNNNNNNNNNNNNNNNNNNNNNNNNNNNNNNNAUUCGUGCGGUGGAGUUAGGAUCAGAUAUGGUGAUUCCUGUGUUCUAUGGAUUUGGAGACUGGGAGUUCUCAGGAGCAGAUUGUUUAGUGGUUGUGGAUUGUGGAGUUAUGGCCAAAGCUGGCCAGAUGAUAUUAUGUGUUAUGGUUCAAUCAUUGUGGACUUUCGGAGGGUUAUUUAUCUAUUUAUGAGUGACCAGAGUUGAUUUGGGGUCCAUUGGUAGGCCCAAUGAGGAUAUGUAUUCUACACCGUGUCAGAUUUAUUGAUUCCGAACUGCUAUUGUUGAAGGAUAUGCCAUUCGGUUAGAAUUGAUUUUAUUCGUAUCUGAUAUGUUCUAUGUGUUACUCUUCCAUGCUACGAGGGGUUGUGAUUCAUUGGUUAUAUGCACACAUGAUGCGGUUCUGUUUGGGCCUUAUAGCGGAAUUCGAGCGAGAUGGUGAUUGGGGUGUGGAAUGGUUGAUUGCGCCUUGGUUAUGGUCUUUCCAGGCUGUGGUAUAUUGUGUUAUUGGCUUCUCCAUGGUUAUAGUCAUGCCUUUUGUGUACUUGAUGUCAAAUUGCGUGUAGUAGUUGAUUUUGAGCAUUGUGGCUUGAGGUAUUUCAUAUGGACCGGCAUUUGGAUGGUCACUCAUUGCAGAGGGGCUAUGUUGGGAUAUGAUCCUUUGUGUUAGAUUCGUGUGUCUUGGUCCUACUAUGUGUGAUGGUUUCAUAGCAUUUCGUUGUGGUAGAUACUUGUUGAGCUUGCAAGACGAUUCUCUCAUUUAAGUCAUUUUCCCCAAUUGAGUACAUUCGAAUAUUUGCUUGUUGGUGCACAGAUUGCACGGUUAUGACUUUAGGUUGUAUUGGUGUGGCGUGUCAAUAGAAUAGUUGUGUUUGAUGAGAUAAGGUCAUUGGACCUAGAAUGGAUACUAUCAGAUUUGAUUACGGUAUGUUUGGAGGAAUAACGUUGGAAGUCGGCUUAGGACUUGGCUUUGGUUCCCGUUGGACGAGAGAGAGUUUCAUGACUUGUUGAUAUGAUGAGUGGUUAAGAGUUUCUACGUGUUUCUUUCAUCAUCGGCAGUGUACAAAGGUUCAGAACAAGAUUUUAGUUGAUAUGAGGUUUGUUACCGAUGUCGAGUUAGUUAUCGAGUAGCUAUUGCGGUCGGGAGUUAUUGCUUUGAGUAUUUGAGUUAUGUGGUAUAUCAUGUUAUUGUGUCUCGGGUUAUGGUUAUGGCUUUGUGCAACUUGUUCAGACUUAGACAGUGUGUAGAUGCGAGAUUCGGGUCUUGUAGGAAAUUCCAGAUGUUGGAAAUUGGAUUAUGGGGAUUACGGGCUAAGGUUGAAGUAAUGAUCUUCAAUAUGUUAUGUUUUCAGGCCUAUAUGGAAUAGGGUGACAUGGGAUCACCCCAGGGUAUGUGCAUGGUAAGGUUACACGGUGAUCUGAUGGCUUAAGAACAACUCUGGGCACGUUCGAGGACGAAUGUAUGUUUAAGUGGGGGAGGAUGUAACGAGUCGUUUUGAGCAUUUGCACUUCGCUCGGUAGUUUGAGGGCAUGGGUAGCUCCGUAUGAUUUAUUAUGACUUGUGAGAAUCAUCGGUUUUCGUUUUCAGGUUAUUCGGAAUUGAUUUGGAGGAACGAUUCUCAACUAGGAAGCUUUAAGUUGGAAGAGUUGACCAAGUUUGACUUUUGUGAAUUUGACCUCGGAACGGAGUUUUGAUGAUUCCAAUAGCUCUGUAUGGUGAUUUUCGACUUAGGAGUGUGUUCGAAAAAUUAUUUGGAAGUCCGUAGUUAAAUUAGGCUUGAAAUGGCUAAAAUAGAAAUUUAAGUUUGGAAGUUUGACCAGGAGUUGGGUUUUUGAUAUCGGGGUCGGAAUCCAGUUCUAAAAUUUUUUAUAGGUCCGUUAUAUCAUUUAUGACUUGUGUGCAAAAUUUGAGGCCAAUCGGACUUGAUUUGAUAGGUUUCGGCAUCGAAUAUAGAAGUUGGAAUUUCUUAGUUUCGUUAAGCUUGAAUUGGGGUAUGAUUCGUGGUUUUAGCAUUGUUUGAUGUGAUUUGAGGUUUCGACUAAGUUUGUAUUAUAUUUUAAGACUUGUUGGUAUGAUUGAAUGGGGCCCCGAGGGGUGUGUUUUGGAUCACUGGUUGAGAAACUAGUUAAGUUAAGAAUUUUGAGUUUGACCAUGGUCAAUAUCGGGUCAAUAUGACCUCUUUUCAGUAUUUUGAGUGCACGAGCAGGUUCGUAGCAUGUUUUAUGAUUGAAACGCAUAUAUGGUCUGUGUCCGGGAGGUUCCGAAUGAGUUUUGGGUGCUAAAACGAAAAUUCUUUCGUUGCUGAUUUUCUGUUAUAAAAUAAUUACGAAAAUGUCAUUUUUUUAAUCACUUAAAUUUUCAAACUUCAUUUAAAUCUUCAAAACAUCAUAUCUCCCUCAUUUUAAGGCCAAAUUGGGUGAUUCAAAAGCCUAAUUUGACUGAAAUUUUACAAGGAAUCUAUUGGAAGGAUCAAAAGAGAGUUUCGGGAUUGUUUGGUAUACAAAACGAGGCAGAACAGCUGAGUAAAAACAUAUUUAAUAUCGAGAGUAUGUUCAUUUUCUAUUUUUUACGAUUUGGAGCUCGGGAAGAGACGAUUUUCGGGAGAUUUUAAAAGAAAAUAAUGGGGUAAGUGUUCUUAACUUAAUAUUGGUCAAAUUACUUGAAUCCAUGGUUAUUUUAUAAUAUUUAAUUGGUGAAUUAAGUUGGAAAAUUUAAAAAGCCCUCUUGGUUUAAUUUGAGGAUUUGAUGGUCGAGUUGACGUCGUCAUUUGGUAAAAUUGGUAUGGUUGGACUCGUGGUUGAAUGAGCGUACAUAUUUUAUAACUUUUGUCGGAUUCCGAUACUUGGGCCCCACAGGCGAUUUUUGAGUGUAAUUUCGGAUUUUUUUGGAAAAAUUAGUAUUUUGAUAUGGAAUUAAAUCCUAUAAUUUGUGUUGACUGAAUUGAAUUAAUUGUGACUAGAUUCGAGCCAUUCGAAAGUUGAUACACACAAAAUGGGAUUUCUGGAGCAUUGUUUAGCUUGCUCGACAUUGGAUUCGGCUUGUUCGAGGUAAGUAACAUCUAUAAUCUUUGAGCUGAGGGUAUGAACCCUAAUUAUAUGUGUUAUAUGAAUUAUUUGGAGGUGACACACAUGCUAGGUGACGGGAGUGUGGGCGUGCACCGUAGAAAUUAAGACUUAGUUGAUUCCGUAGAGCUGUUUAGUCAAUUAACUUGUAUUCUUCUAUGUAUUUUUAUGUGUUAAAGAAACUGAGCUAUGACUCAUGUUAGAAAUCAUGCUUAAGCAAAUGUUGGUAUUAUUGGGACCCACUAAGGUCAUUUCUAAUGUUGAAUUAUAUGUUUAAACCGUAAUUUCAUACUUAGUCAUAUUCAUUCAUUGCAUAUCAUAUCUUAGUCUCUGCUGUUAUUUAUUGACACAUCAUAUCAUCAUUUUGGGCUAGUUUCAUGACAUUGUGAGCCUGAGAGACUGGAGAGAUUGAUGACUAAGUGAGGCCGAGGGCCUGAUUGUGAGGAUAAUUAAGGGAUCGGGUUGCACGCCGCAGCAGGUCAGAUUAGCUUAUUAUAACACGUGAGUUGUCCGUGCGGAUCCAGAUAUUGAUACUAUAGCACGUUAGUUGUCCGUGCGGAUCCAGAUAUUAAUACUAUAGCACGUGAGUUAUCCGUGAAGCACGUGAUUUGUCCAUGCGGAUCUAGAUAUUGAUAUUAUAACACGUGAGUUGUUUGUGCAUAUUAUAGCGCUUGGACUGAAGGAGCCCUUCCGGAGUCUGUACACAUCCCCAGUGAGCGCAGGUACCUACUGAGUGCGAGUGGCGAGUGCUGAGCGAUUGGGAGGAUUGAGAGACUGUGAGGAUUGAGUGAAUUGAUACGCUGAGUAUGCAUAUGGUUUUAUUAUUGAGUUGCAUCGCAUUGACAUGCACGCUUGACAUACAUGCAUAGACAUGUAGUUUUCCUCAUGUUGUACGAUAUUGCGUCAUUCAUGACUUUACAUACUCAUUGACAUAUAGGCAUAGAUAUGUAUUUUCCUCGUGCCAUUUGAAAAUGAAACAUCCUAUCUGUUGCUGAAAAGGUUUUGGAAAAAAUCACAGUUUUAUAAAACGUACUCAUAUUUUGGUGAUUUCGGUAAAAGAUUUGGGUUUUCACUGAUAUACUUGAAAAGCAGGCCUAUUUUUCUGGAACUGUGAACGAGUUGAUCAUUUUAUCUCUAAGCUACUUCUUUUAUUACUUAUAUUAUGUUGUUAUGAACUGUUGUUGGCUAUUGGUGUUGGACCCUGACCUUUGUUCCUGCUCGUCACUACUUUUAACCUAAGGUUAGGUUUGUUACUUAUUGAGCACAUGUGGUCGGUUAUACUCAUACUAUAUUUUUGCACCUUGCUUGCAGAUAUUGGAUGUUGAUGUUGCUAUGAUCGACAGGAGAUGGAUUUAAAGAUGUACCUGUGUUCCGGUCAUAACUGCCUCUUGUUCAUGGUAGCCUUAGAUUUAUAAAAAUCUGUUUAUGUACAUUUCGAACAGAUGAUGUAUUUAUUUCAUACCAGCUUGUAAAUUCUAAUCUUAGAAGCUAAUGAUUUGUACUACCACUCCUUGGGGAGUGUAUUAGAGUCAAUUAAAUAUUAUUGGAAUUGGAUAGUUAUUAGUUGGCUUACCUAGCUGAUUGGGUUAGGUGACAUCACGACUAGUUAAAUUUUGGGUCGUGACACUUGCUCCCCGCACUCAUAACAAUUUUUUUUCCUUACUCUAGACUUUGAUCUGGCGGUUGACUUUGUUCUGUUAAAGUUAUUUUGUUGUGUUCUUCCUCUACUCACAAGACUCCCACCCUCAAUUUUGCUGUCCAAAAAGUUCUUUUUCAACUCUUUAGAUUUUAGUUCAUUACUAACAUCUUCCAGUGAAAUACUAUCAUUUCCAUAUAACAGCAUAGCAAAAGUAUCAUAAGACGGUGGAAAAGAACAUAAUACUAUCAAGGCGUGAUCCUCGCUCUCAAUUUUGAUAUUCAUGUUCUUCAGGUCCAUUACUUGAAUUAAACUUAUCAAUGUGAGUUUUAACAGGUGUACCUUCAUUUAUACGAAGAUUGUAUAAUUUUUUUUUCACGUAGAGGCGGUUUGUCAGCGAUUUCUUAGAAUACAGAUCUUCCAGCUAAUUCUUCCAUGCCAUUGAUGCAGAAGUUUCUUCAGCAAUUUCCCGAAAAACGCUAUCUGUAACGCUCAUGAAGAUCACACUCAAAGCCCUCUCAUUCGGGUCCGUCUUUUCUGUCUCUUUCAUCUUUUCAGGAAAAUCCUUAUAAAUUGCCUUCCAUAACUCUUGUAACACGAGAGACGAUUUCAUCCUAAUCUUCCAUAGAUUGAAACUAGAACCCUCGUCAAAUUUCUCUACUUCGUACUUUGUUGAAGAUGAUGAAGACAUCUUAACUCUAGAUUAUAUGUAGAAACCCGAACCUUGCUCUAAUACCAAUUGUUGUGAAAGAUCGUAAGUUAACUAGCACACAAUCACACACAAAGCAAAUAGAGAAGAAAAAUCAAUACAAGGAUUUAACGAGGUUCGGCUAAGUCUAAUCCUCGGAGCAGAGAGAGUUUUUCACUAUGAAUGAGAAGAAAAGCACAAUGCAAUCUUUAGAAUCCCACCUACAACCCCUAUAUAUAGAUCCCAAAUAGUUCAAACCUAUAAGAGAAAGAUUUUUCAAUUUGACAAUUACAUAAUUCAAGCCACAAAUAAUGGUUCCACUUGCAUACAUUAGUAUUGCCUAUUAACCAUCCUGGUUUUGAUAGUAAUUAAAAGAUCAACAACAAGAAUAUUUAAGGGGAGAAACAAGGAGUAUUAACAGGGAAUAAGAGAAAGCUCGAACUACAACUGCUAUAAACUUUUUCUUUGAGUUCUCAUUUAAACGAACGGUCACAUUUGAAUGCAAGUACCAAUUUAAACUAGUAAUGUUUUUAUAUUUCCACAUCAACCAACUUAUUAUUAAUUUUGUUUUUAAACUGGCGUAGCACUAUGCGAAAAACUAAAUAUACUCCGUUAAAGAGUACAUCCGGGCUUGGCUCGAGCUUGAUUAUACUUUAUACUUUAUUAAAGGGGAAUCUUACAGAAAUGUCCCAAAAAAAUUUCAACUUAACACCUCUAACCAUUAAUUAUAAACUUAUCAAAACUAGCCAAACACAUAUAAAAAUUGAAAACCUAAAGAAAAAAGAUUUUCUCUAUCCAAAAUCACACACAAAGAUUUCCUUCCAUAUUUUUAAGCGUGAUUACCAACAUUGGAUGCAAGAUGGAAAUGAAUUUUAUUGAUGAAGUAGCAAAUAAGGUGAUGAAACAAACAAAUAUAUAUACAAGAUUCCAAAAAUCUAAGCAAAAAAAGACUUUUUUCAGUGAGUAUGAUUGAGAUUCAUUGAAAAGAUAUAGAUGAGUCAUACACAAAAUUUAAGGAAGAUUGGAGGUGAUUUGGACUGAAUUGAUAUAAAAAUUCGUAGUUAAAAUCGAGUUCAAAAAAUUCUUCUGCGACACAUGUAUCAAAACAUGUAUCACGCAUGUAUCUCACACGCAUGUGAUACACAUUUGAUACAAAUAUGAUACAUAUCUAAUACACAGUGUGAUACACAUAUUAUUGUUUUAUGUUCAUCUUCUAUUUCGAAUUUUCAAUUCAAACCAACUCAAAACUCCACCAAAUCAUAUCAAACUGAGAUUCAAGCUCCUUAAGAUGUACCCAAUCUAUUAUAAUAACACCCACUCAAAAGAAAGCAAAAUUUUAAUUUUUUUGUCUACAAAUAGCUAAUUGGCUAAUAUUAGUAAUAUUUUGUGAAUUGACCAAUUUUUGUAAUAAAAUACUUAUAAAUGAACAUAACUGGUAUUUUUAUUUAAUAAAGCUCGGUUGGGCUCGGCUCAAUAUUAUAAGAAUUAACCCAAAUAGCCGCUCACACUAACACUUAAACUAAAAAUAGCCGGUAAAUAUAUAAUAUAUGCAUAAUUUAUGUAUUGUAUAUGUAUAAUUAAUAUAUAUUCUAUGUAUAUUGUUAGAAAAAGUAAACAAUUUAUAUCGCCGGCUAUAUGUGUAAAAAUCCCAUAUUAUAACAUGCUCGGUAUUAUAGUAAGUUCGGUUGGAUUGGCUUGGCGUCUAGGCCUAACUGUAACAUAGUAAAAUGACAGCGGAUAAAUCUGAUAAUAAUCUUACUUUUCCGCAAUGCUAAAGUACAAACUAAACUAACCACCUAUAACAUGUAAAAUUACAUUGACAUAUAGUUCUUAAAUCUUUAUCCUUCUAAUUCAAUUUAGUUAUGUAUAUUAUGUAUCAAGUAUAGUUUUUGUACACAGUUCUUAAAAAUAUGUUCUAUUUUACUAUAUUACUAAAAUAUGGAGUAAAAUUAAGUAUAGUGAUUAUUUGUUGCGGCCAAACGGACAUGUAAGUAUACGCAAUCGUCAAGUAAUAAAGUAAUGAGAUAGAAUGUCAAAUCCACAGGGAUUUAUGAUUUAACCAUUAACUAGAUUAAACUAUCCUAAUUAUCUAAACAAAAAGUAAACUUAAAAGUGUUUGACUCUAAUUAACUACAAUAAAAAAAAAUAAGAGGAAGAGGAGAUUCUUAUGUUAUCAAUGUGAUAAAAAUAAUCUAUGGUUAUGAGCUAUCUAACAAUAUAUUCUUUAAUUGAUUCAACUUCUUAAUCUAUCUAAUUUACUAGUUGACCGAAUAGUUUAGAUUCGUAGAUAGUAUUCGAUUGGUUAUCAUGAUUGAUUAAAAAAAUUAAUAUCAUAGAUCUAGAAAUCAAAAUCAGUAUUCAAACAACGAUAGUUAUGAAAGAACCAAAUCUCUAGAAUACGGAAAAAAAGAUGAACUUGAAGCUCCUCGGCAGUUCCUUGCUUUCUGUUCGUUUUCUUAUAAGAAUUUUAAUUUGCUAAAAAAGAAGUUUUUAAACCGUUAUCUAAAAGGUCCAUUAACUGCAAAAGAAAUAAAAUAAAUUAUUUAUUAAAAAAAUGAUAUAAAAAAAGACACAGUCGGCAAAAAUUUCACCUAAUAGUGUUACAUACAUACUAGGGAUAUUAUAUAUCUUAAGUCUUAAGUCUGUUUUUGAACAAACAAAUUUCCCAAAUAGCUAGUCUUGAUCAGCUAAGACGGGUCGAAAUGAUUAUAAUAUGCAAAAAAAAAGCUAAAUAUGGCUAGAAAUUAGGCGGUGUUUUAGCCACAUGGCUGGCUAAUGGCUAUGGAACCCAAGAAUUUGUCACAUUUCUCCAUUUUUCCUCUUUUCUUCUUCCACCAUUCUGGGUUUCUGCCAUCUCAACAGUUGAAUCAAGAACAUGUGAUUUACAGGUACCUUUUUUUAAAUAUAUACAUGCAAAUGUACAUACUUUUUGUCUGUUUUGUGUUCACCAUUACUCAGAAUAAUUGAAUCAAGAACAUGAAUUUCUCUUAUUAUAUGCCAAUUAAAGGUGGUACCCUAUUUUGUGUUUUUGUAUCUGCAUGCAAUUUGCAAAUUAAUGGUGUAUACUUUAUGUUUGUUGAGGUUUGCUUUUAUUCUUUUUGUCUUAUGUAAUGAUAUGGUAUAUAUGGUUGGAUGUAAAAAAGAACUAAUCUUUCUAUUACCUUUUAGAAAGAAAAAAGAAACUUUUCCCAUUCUUGUGCACCUGUAAUUAAGUCCAUUAAACAAAAGUUCCCUUUAAUUGCGGUGUUAAUCUCCAAUUUGUGUGUAAAAAACCGACAUUUAGCCUUUUUCCUUAUUGAGGUUACAGAAAUUUGGUGGUUGGAAGUAAGAGUGAGGAUAAAAAUGAUGAUAGUUUGAAUUUUAAGAAAGCAUGAGUUGAAGUAAUCAUUUGAACAACUGUUUAUUACUAUUCUGUUUUACCCUUUUGUUUUUCUGUUUGAAACAUUGGGAAAAUUUGACCCUCCCAACAUUUUCUUCUUUCUUUCUAAUGAGAUUAAGGCGUAGUCAAUGCAUUCUUUCUUGUGCCUCCUCCCACCACAGAGUAAGCUUUUUUAUUCCUCAUUCGUCUAGUUUCAUCUCUUGGAUUGGUAUCCGUUUACUUUGCUGAAAUUUUGGUUAUUUAGCUUGGUUGAAGGCAAGUAUAGUUGAACGAAGAGGGUCAAAUUGAGCGAAAUGGAUGUUGAUGAUUCGUAUUAGUGGAUGACAAGUUUGGGAUUGAGGUGCUGUAGUUUCUAUUAGUGGAUGCAGGCAUGGUUAAUGGACUGAACAAUAGGUUUUAUCAGCUCUAAACCGCCAUUUUUGAACAAUGUGGGUUAUUUUUGUUAUUCAUAGGCAAGAUACCUUAAGGGGAGCCUUGGAACAACGGUAAAGUUGUCUCCGUGUGACUUAUAGGUCACGGGUUUGAGUUGUGUAAGCAGCCACUAAUGCUUGCAUUAGGAUAGGCUGCGUGAAUAAGGGAUGCUUUGUGCACCAAGCUGUCCUUUUAUAGACAAGUUAUUGGCCCAAUAUUUUUUGAGUUUCGAACCGUGCCCCACUAGUCCUCGGGGAUUUCUCAGUUAUCAAAAAUAAUUAUUCGAACUUGAACUACUUCGACUGUACGACAACAUAGGUCAUUCUAUUAGAUUUAAUAAGAUGUAGAUCCUAAGCUACAUGAUGGAUGAUUAAUUUAUCAUCAUGAAUUGCACGAGGUGACUAGAAAAACAUUAACUUGCAAUUUUCUUGAAGUCGUUUGAAUUUCUCUGCUGCACUCUGCGACGAGCUGUAUGCAACUUGAUACAAUUGUUCUUCUUUUGAGUGCAUUCUAUGCUGGGAGGGAGUAGCUUUCGUCUUGCUGGAAUUUACCUGUCUAAUGUGGGGACCUAAUCUAUUUUACUAAUUGCCUUUGAUAUUAAGUCAAAUCCUUUGCAUGAACUCUACCAAAGGAGUUGAUUUAGAGCAAAGAAACAGUAUAUCAAAUGCUGAGUCGUAAUCUCAUGUCAAUUCGACUAACUUUUGGAAAUAAAAUCAAUUUGCAGUUGCUUUGGCUUGUCUCUAUGUCUUCGUGCCAUUUUGUGAUCAGUUUACGUAAUUAUCUUUAACCAAACCCUUUUCGCGCGCAUCAACUGGAAUUAAUUUUGAAUCUUGAUAGUCUCAGACUCGUGAAGUGAUGCCUAUGACCCUCUUUAGAUUACUUUUAUCUUUCUUCGUGUUGAUAUCUUUUUUCUCUUUUUGAUCUUUUUAUUUCGCAUUGAAUGCCUCAGCUAGACCAGUUAAAUAAUGUUGCGAUACUAGCCACAUUGCUGACAUAUCCACUUGUGACAAGGGAUGGUUUGCGAGUCCUUAGUUAAGGGCUCGUGCUCUUUAGGUUUUGGGGGGGGGGGGGGGGUUAAGGUACUAGGACGGUCAGGCAAGUCAUUGACAGCAAUAUCUUCCUGCCCUUCUUUUUUAAACUUCAUAAACUUGAAUGCUGUAACAUUUUCAUUUCAUUGUGUAAUUAGCUUCCUUAGCAAUUUAUAAUAAAGCAGUGUACACUUCUGCUCGUAAUUUUAUCUCACAGAACUUAUGAAUUCAGGCUGAUGAAGAUGAAAGUAAUUGGCAAAGAAGGAAGCUUGAUGAGGAGCCAGCAUGGUCACAUAAUUCUCCUCACGUAAUUUCACAGUUAGCUCAGUGCUUUAGUGAGUUCAAAUUAUUCUUCUAAUUUUCCACCUGAAUAAUUUCAUUAAUGGUCGCUGCAUCUGCAUCUUUUUUGCCUACAGUUCAGAUAGAUUCUCCUAGGUAGUUUAUUUAGUCUUUCAAAUCUUUGUUCUUCUUUUUUUGUUAAAUUCAUAAUACAGGAAAUUUGUUGUUUACUAUGUUUGUGCUUCUUUUACAUUGCAAAAUUUUGGGAUUGUCUAAAUGGAAAGUUGGGAACUGUUACUCUUUUUGCAAUACAUAUGUGAUCUGAACAUCUUUCAUCACCAGUAUUACUAUCUAGAAAGAAGUCCUCAUAUUUUAAGUUUAGAGGCUGUAUAAACCAAACUGGACAAGCAUACAGCCUAAUUAGGAUAAGCAUGGUACAUCAUAGACUAGUGCAUGGUGCAAAUUGUCGGAAGAACAAUGCGAAGAAUAGUGAAAAAGAAAGACUUCAAUAUAAAACUUCAAGAACACAUCUUGAUCAUCUUUUUUGGGCUGUUCUUCCCUUUACUUAACAUGUUAAUCAACUAAUGUGUACAUUUCCAUAGUUAUUUGUCCAUUUCACUUAUCAGAUUUUGAUGGCUGUAGCUAAUGCUAUGGUUGGACCACGAGCAUGGAUAGGAGGAAUCUUCAACCGCUCGGGCAAUAAACGGUUCGGAAGCGAUAAAUAUCUUGACUACCCCUUAACUCCUCUUCAGGUAAACCAGAGUACUAUAUUGUUGGCCUUUGAGUUUAUCUGGCCUUUAUCUCUAUUUCAUGUCUAUCCAAGUUAAAUAGGCUUCUUUCUGUUGGUAGAAAUUGUUGAGACUAUUAUGGAAGUUCUUUUUUUUUUUUUUUAACUUCUCUUUGUAGUUUAUACCUUCAUAACAUUGUGGAUUUUUUCAUAUAUAUUUAACUUCUGCCAGGAAGAAAGAUUACGCAGGCUUCAAGAACGGCUAGGGGUACCUUUUGAUGAGACACGGAUAGAUCAUCAAGUAUUUCCAAAAUGCUUGUUCUAUUUUCAUUUCCAUGUUAAUUUCAGUUCAUAGUUAUAAAUUCUAUUCCCUCGGGGAUAGUGAAAUCGCAAGUUGCAAAGGUCAUGUAUAGGGGAUGUUUUAUAAGGGACUUGGAAUACUACAUUUAUUGAUCUAAGUUAUCGGCCUUUUGUUUUACAAUUUAUCAACAACAUAUCAUUUUAAGAAAUACGUACUUAUGUGCACUUCGUAUGAAAAUGUUCCAUACUAGAUAGAUGUAUUUUUCAGAAUAAUAGUGUCAUAACUAGUGAUAUUUCAAACAAAACAAGCUAUGCAAUAGUUCUUGAAAUGGCACUCUCAUUAAUUCAAUAUACUGAAAUCUUGUAAGAAGUCACUAAAAGAUUCUGCCUCUCUAAUUUCAUGGCAAACACUGAGAUCACUAUUUUAUCACAUUUAAUCUUAAUGAUAUUUAUCAGUAUCUAUUAACCUACCAGAGUAGUAACUUAGUUUAUCUGCCGCAUAGCAGAAAGUUGGAAACCUUAGUUAUUUCCGCAUUUUCUUCCUGGAUUUUGUUUCUGUCUGUACCGGCAUCUCUUUUGAAUUAUAAUCUUAUUUGUGUUUUUUCUAGUUACAGCUUGUAUUUUAGCACAUAACUAACUCCAAUUUUCAGGAAGCUCUUCAAGCUUUAUGGAAUGCAGCAUUUCCAAAUGUGAAGCUAAAAAGUUUGAUCUCCGAGCAAUGGAAAGAUAUGGGCUGGCAAGGAGCAAAUCCAUCGACUGACUUCAGGUGAGUUUCAUCCUUUGAUAUUCUCAAUGAUUUGACAAGAUACAUUGAUAUUUUUGUCACUUUUCCAAGGGAAGAAAUAUGUAAGACUUUUUGGUAAGAGGAGAUUCAUUUAUGUUGGUCAAUUGUAAUAAUUAGAACGUAGCAGUUUGCUUUUUCAUCUAUAUAGAAAAAGGUAUUCUACCAUUCAUUUGCAGCGCCUCGUCUAGUGGCACUUCUAUGACAAUCAGUAGAUAGCUAAGGAAUAGGAAAAAAUUAUUCUUGGCGUUGUUUUGACUCUUUGUUGCAAUGAUUCCACUAUAAAAUAACACCGAGAUCUGUGCUUGAAUGCAUAUCUCAAAUAUCUCACCAGCUUCCGGCACUUAGUUUACUUUUGUUGUCUAAGAUAUUAUUCUCAUCUGAAAAAUCAUCUUUUUGUAGGGGUUGUGGAUUUAUUUCACUAGAGAAUUUGCUGUUUUUUGCAACAAGAUAUCCGGUAUGAUGUUUAGCUGUUUUGCGAAGAUAUAGGUGUUCACAGUCUGAUGGCGGCUUAUUAAGUCAUAACUAAUUGCAUAUAGUCAAAAUCAAGGCUUGUUUUCAUAGGUUGCUUUUCAAGCGAAGUGGAUCGAGGGCAAUGUGGGAGUAUCCAUUUGCAGUCGCUGGGAUUAACGUUACAUUCAUGUUGAUUCAGAUGCUUGACUUAUACUCAGGUGAUUUAACGUUUUAAGUGAUUUAUACUAAUUAAGAACAAUCUCCUCUGCUUUCAAAUAUUAUUCUUUAUGAUUCUUGAUUGUCUCAAAUUAUACAUUUUGCUAAUAUUUUCCUGUCCAUUUUGAACCGACAUUGACUUUCUUCUUUUUCUCUUGCAGAGAAGCCAAAGUGUCUACCGGGAAUUAAUUUCGUUAAGCUAUUAGGAGGUAAGCCAGUCAUUUAGACAGAAAAUUAACCUAAGUACUUCUGAAUUAGGGUGCUUUCUAGAUGAACUUUUUCUCUAAAACAAACUGCAGAGGAUGAUGAGGCAUUUGAUGUUCUAUACUGUAUAGCGUUCGCUAUGAUGGAUGCACAGUGGCUGGCUAUGUGUGCUUCAUAUAUGGAGUUUAAGGUAUACCUCUCUCUCUCUCUCAUUAGGCUAUGUCUCUCGUACACUUGCCCAAAAGCGAAUUCAGGAUUUGAACUUUAUGAGUUCAGUUCGAAUUUUUAUCAAAGUCCACAUGUCAUCUGAUUUACUGGGUUCUAAAUCUAUUAUUCGUACCAAUUUAGUGGUGGAAUUCUUACCCAUACACAAGAUAUGAGCUAAAGUUACUAGGUUCGGGUGAAACCUUAUCUAUUUCCCUACAUCCGCUCCUUCUCUCACCCUUCCAUUUCUCACACGUGUUCACCAUAUGAGGAACAUGUCAUGAGCUUCUGAAUUAAGAUUAAAUUCAACGCACUUGUUCUUAUAAAAUAAUAAUGCUGAUUAUUUUUUGAUUGAACACUAUCAUUUAGGAGAAAGCAUUAAACAAUCAUGUCCUUUAGUUCAAACACAGCUUCAUUUUGAGAAGCAGAAAAAGUAACUUCUCCCCAAAAACACUUUACUUUUCAAAAUAAGUUGAUUUUAGAAGCUUGGCCAAACAAGCUAUAAGCACGGUAUAUAUAGAAUUCCCUUUGCUAAACUGAUAUAGGAAAUGAAGGGCUCCAAAGCUUUAUGAUUUUGCAAAACUGAACCUCAAUGUUUACUCAAUAUUAUUUUUUAUUACUGUGUUUGUCCGAGGAACAGUCAUAUGUUUAGCAUAAAAGUUAGUCCUAUGAUCUAUAAAUGAUGAUAAUUUUUGUAGAUCUAAAACAGAAAAGGAUGUUUCACAAUAUGUAUCUUACUUUUCCUCUACAUUCUACUAAUUAAAGUUUUUUGUUUUAUUCCUUCAGGAUGUUAUGCAAGCGACAAGGACGCAAUUAGAGAGGGAAUUAUCAUUAGAAGAUAUACAAAGAAUAGAAGAUCUGCCAGCAUACAACCUGAUAUAGCACAUACACUUCUUAUUCCCAUAUGUAAUACCUGAUAUAGCUCACUCAUUCUGCAAUUUGGUUAAUUAAAGAUAGACAGAAUGCGAUAAAAUGAUUGAGAUACAUCCAAUAGCUAAACCUGAAAUUUUCUGUACAAAGAGGUGGUAGUUUACGCAACUCAAACAUUACUGAAUAGGUUUCCAAUGUUUUCUAGGAUCUUUUUAGUCUUGUCAGUAGAAAAUAUAGAGAACUUCUAGAGCUUUUGACUUUAUUUUUUUUAUUUAAUUUUGUGCUUGGGAUUUGUUGCUGUGUAGUUGUUGAAUGUUACUGAAUAGAUGAAAGAAGUGUUGCCACAGGUUGUUUAACAUAUUUUGCCAGUUCUGAGUUAUGCAAAGUCCUAUCCAUGUUGUUUCCUUUGGCGUCGGUUAUCUUAUUGUUUUGUUGUCGUUACUGUUUCUUUUCUCCGGUAUUUCCAACGUUCUCAUUACUGUUUUUUUUUCUCAAACUUGCUUUGUUUUUUUUUCCUUUGAGCCGGGGUCUAUCGGAAAUAACCUCUUUACCUCACAAGGUAGGGGUAAAGUUUACGUACAUAGUACUCUCCCUAGACCCCAUUUGUGAGAUUACACGGGUUAUAUUACCUUUGUUGUUGUUGUUCCGAGUUGAGUAAUGUUCUGUGCUUCUAUGUUUGGUUCUUCUAAAUAUUACUGACAGAUUGGUUUUCCCCCACUGCCUACUUUCUCACUGACUAGUAUAUUGUUAGUUUCUCAAAUCCAAAUGCCAAUUUCAAAGAUAUAAUUAAGUGAAUAAAAGUGUGUUCCCUAUCUAAUAGCUUAAGCGAUUAGAUGAGAUGGUGAUACAAUUCAACAUACCAAAGAACAUAUAACUAGAAUUUGAAUAUGAUUUGGUAAAAUGCUUUCUUUUCUUACAUUUGAUAUUACGGAAGGAAGACUGCAAAAGUUUCAGCAGCUUUAACAAUAUUGAUGGAGUAAAAUACACCAUUUAUGAUGUACAAAAAAAAUGACUUUUCUUUACACCGCUCUAUUGUUGUCUAAUUUGAUGUUUGAUCCAUAACUCAGAAAUAUAUAUAUCAUCAUUAAACAUUUUUAUUACAACAGAAAUAUCAUUACAACAGUGAAAAUAAAUAAAUAAAUGUAUAUAAAUUUUUAUUAGUUAACCGUAGCCCAUAUAUAAGUGAUUAUUAUUAAGUGUAUGUAUGUAACUCUUAAGGUUAAAUAAGUUUUAAACAUUGAAUAAUGAUAAAAUAAAAUAAAAAUAUUUGAAUCUAUCCAACUUGAUUUUGAUCCAAUAAUUUCUUUCUAUGUUGUUUUUGUCCAGAAAAAGAAAGACAACACUAUCUGUGUGAUAGAAUGAGCAAGAAUAAGUUAUUCACAUAUAUAAUCAUAUUUGUGGUUGAUGAUGAUAGCAACCACAUCUAUAUAGUGUUUUAGGUUUGCUUGAAAAAAUUAUCUGUAAAUUAGCAGCGUUAUUGAAAUCCCAAACAUGUCCAACAUUCAAUCUUUAGAAAAAGUUAUCCAAGUUUUAUAAUUUUGCUUGUAAUGAGUUUGGUUUGGAAUGAUGAUGGUUUUAAAGCUUUACUUCUUGUACCAAAUGAUAUUACUUUAUAAUUUUUUGCAAGUGAUAUCGGCUUAUCAUACAUAAACAUAUUGUUUUUAAAAAUAAUUAUUUGCAUACGUAUAUACAAGGAGAUUUUUUUUUUUGCGAAGGAAUAUCGGAUUAUACUCUUUACUACAUGGUGUUUCCGCCACUUACCAGAAAAAAUUGAAUAUCUAUACGCAUAUAUGGAUAUUUAAAUGAUCUUUGAUAUUGCACUUAUAUAUUAUUUUAAGAUAUUUCAGAAAAUAGCAGUAUAAUUCGGGAUUUUAAUUUUCUAAAUAGAUGAUUAGUUUCAUACAUUUACCUUUUAUUCAAAGACAGUUUUGCAAAUCUACCAACUUUCUGCAAUUUUAGUUCUCUUUCUUUCUACCCUCUUUAAGUUGCAUCCAUAGAUUUAGUAAACUAUUAAAAAUUACCCAAUGUAAUAAAGCCUAACACAUCCAAAAGAUCACACCCUUUUGUGGAAAAUGUUACUGUAGCAAUUAGUGAUGGAUCAUGCCAAACUUAAUUGGCGUCGUGUUAUCACUGGACCACAAGCCUAAGUGACAUUUAAAAUAAUUUUUUUGCUAAAGAAUAAUUUAUCUCCAAUAUUGAGCUUGUCCAAUCAUCAAGUACUAAAUCAUACAAUAUCCUGCCCUACACCUAUAUAUUGCCUAUUGGAUCACCACGGUUCCAUAUNNNNNNNNNNNNNNNNNNNNNNNNNNNNNNNNNNNNNNNNNNNNNNNNNNNNNNNNNNNNNNNNNNNNNNNNNNNNNNNNNNNNNNNNNNNNNNNNNNNNNNNNNNNNNNNNNNNNNNNAAAAAAAAGAUAAAUCAUUCAUCAUGCACUCAUUUCUUAAUUCCCCCAUAGUGGAUUACAUAAUUCAUCUCCUAGUUCCUAGUUCCUAGUUUCUAGAUGAGAUAAGAAUUGCAUUAAAGCAAGUGCCAAACAAUAACUAUCAACAAGAGAGUUAUGGUUGAGUCAUAAGUAUUUCUUCAUUAUUAGCGAGAUGUCUCGGAUUCAAGUCCUGAGAAAGAAAUCGCUUUUGAUAUGGACCGAUUUAUCUCUAAUAUGGGAUUUCCUAACGUGAAUCCAGAUUUAAUCAAACAUUAGUACGAGUACAGAACACUGAACAAGAAACCAACAAAAGUUGCCAAACAACCAAUGUGGAUAAUUGGACAUGCAUUCUUAACUACUUGACUAGGAAAAGAAAGAACAUGCCCCAUGUGCAUCUAGGAGUUGUUUGUUGGGGGUUGCGGGUUGCCUCAAAUUUCUCCUAUUGCCAUAUGGUUAGAGAUUGCACUUCUAAAAUAACUUGAUGUUCUUUGUCUCAACUCUCAAUAAAUCAAUCAAUUAACUGCCUGUCAAUCCAAAAUUAAUUAAAAUCAAUUUUAUAACCUUUUUGGGGGGUCUUCAUUCUGUUGUAUUGAGACGCAUUUCAAUUUAAUAUUAAAUUAUUUCUCUUUAAUAUAAAUUAGGAACUCUAAAAAAGUGAAUGUAAUUUAAAUCUCACUCUCAUCAUCACACAAACAUGCAAAUUUCUAAGUUUUGCAGGUUUUUGAAACUUAGAAAUUUAGCUUUAAAUUCACGUAAAUCCACUAAUUUUUGUUCAAACGUAGUGUACAUAUCAAGAAAUACACUAAAUAUUUAUAACUUUUUGAUUGUGAAUAUUACUCCUUCAUGAGUAAAUGCAGAGUUACUUUUAAAUAACAAAAUAAUAAAUGUAUGGUAAUUUUGAAAGACAUAGAACUAAUACACGAAGAUCCAGUAAAUAAAGAUAUAAAUUUUGAUUAUCUAUUUUCAGAAGAAAUAUUCAAAUGAUAUUCACCCUCACGAUGUUCUCAAUUAGUAAAUAUGCAAUACUAUGAUUUGUUAUUUGAGUUAUUCACAAUUUUUAUAUUCCUAUAGAUGAAAAAAAAAAACUUUAAUCAUUAAUUUGUUAAAAAAAUUGAGAAUUAACAAUGCUAAUUAGUGAAUUAAACCCAUGAUUGGCAUAGAUGAGCCCGAGCGUUGAGCGUUAGGUAUGUUUAAAGCGCACAAUCCGGCAUUUGAAAGCGUAAGUCUCACAAAACUAAGCCACACUUAAAAGUCUCAAGGUAUUUUGAUAUUGCCCACCUCGAAUCCCAAAAAACCUUUUAAAAAUUAAAACUCUUGGUAAUAAUAAACAUUUGGACUAGAUUAUGAGCUUUGGUGGUGUAUCUUGAUUCAUUAAUCAGUGGCAGAAUUUUCCAAGUGGAACUUUCUUAUGCUCAAGAAGUCAUCAAAGGUUAUCUAAAACAUUAAUAAGUUGGACCACGAUUAACUAAUUAAUUAAGUACUUUGUACAUUAUCCUAGGAACAAAAAAUUAGGUAGAAAGUCCACGAUAAUGAAGUUACCUGUUCAUCCAACGGAGUAGAGGAUGGGAAAAUAAUACUGUAUAGUCGUUUUUAAAAUAAUAUGCGAAAAAAUUAUAUUUUUUGUAUAUAUAUACAUUUUGUAUAUUAUAUAUAAAAAUGAUACAAAUUUUAUAUACUUUUUCGACUAUGAAUAUAAAUAAUUUCUAGCGCGGGCUAAAUUGAUAAUAACCCAUAAAGGACGCCAAAAGUCGAAACCUAACUGUGAAGUGUUGAAUGACUUAAUGAUGGCAUGUAUUAAUUACUAAGAAGGAAAUUUCAGUGUCACUUUGGCAAUUAUGCUCGUCCAUUCUGUUUUCUUGUUGCCAAUCACGUCAGGGACGUUCAUAUUUAUUAUUACAGAUUUAAAUAUUAUUAGGUGAAUUAAAUUAAAAAAUUAAAAAAAAAUAUUCUUGGAGUUUUUAAAAGCUUAAAAAUUCAUAUAUGGAUUUUGUGAUUUGUUGAAUUUUUUAAUAAAUUAAUGAUUUUGGUUCGUUGGACACAUUAUUUUAAAGUUGUAGUUAAAAUUUAAAGCUAUUAAUUAAAAUCAAUAAAAAGGGACAAAAGCACACAAGCAGUGGACUGUGUAUUCUUUUUGAUUUUGUCAAAUUCUUCAUUUGUAGAUAUUUUCUCUCUUUACUUUUCUAUGGUACGAAAAAAAACGACGGCAAUAUUUGUCCACAGUUCAUCAAAUAUUCGUUUUUUUCUUUUGGUUUCUUUCUUUUUCUUUUAAAAUUAAAAAGCUGAUAUAAAUCACACUUAUAAAUUAAUAAUAUUUAUUAUUCCAUUUUUUUAAAGUACCUCAAUUGUAACUAAGAAAAAUAGUAUUUUAGUAAAAAAAUGUAUUAAAGUUUAAAUGCGGAAAAUAUUUAAUAGAUAAAUAAUAGUCAUCACCAUCUAUAAGCGGGAAAACUUGACGAUCUUAUAAAAAGCUUAUAUUAAAUGGAUAAAUGAGUAAAAUAAUUGGGUGAAUGGGUUGAAAAUUAUGGGUCGCUGCGGGAUUUUAAAUUAUUUUUGUAUAUAUUUUGUACUGAAAAUUAAAAUAUAAUCGCCAGAAUUUAUAUUUUCGCUGAGUUGUACUUUUCGUUACAUAUAGGUAUAAUUGAAGUAUAUUCUACUUAUAAAUUUAAUUUAGGUGUUUUUAUGUGAAAAAUCAACAGUUCGAAUACUAUCCAUGAAUUGUUAUGAAACAACAAAAGAAGAAGAAAAGUAUUGUAGAGAAAAGUAGGGAGAGAGAAUUCUUAUUGAUUUUAGAUGAUUUAUAAUGGAAUAGUUAGCCUUUAUUUAUAGGGAAAGAGUGACUUAGCCACCAAGUAAUAAUCCAUAAAAUCUCUCUAAAAUAUAGACAUUCACUUUAAAUACAAUUCUAUUUAUAACAAUUUUCCUUGAAUAUCCAUUCAACAGAUAAUGUGUCUCGUUAAAACCUUAACUAAAAAAAAACCGGUGAGAAAAAAAAAAUCUAGAGAAGGAAAAAGAGUACACAUGUUUAGAAAUAUGCCUUUUGGUUGCCUCGUUAAAAACCUUGCAAGGAAAACCCAGUGGGACAAAAUCUUAUAAAGGAAAAAAGAGUACAAUGCAUAUUAACUCCCCCUGAUUAGAGCAUCAAUUCACAUCCUUGAGCCUCUGCAUCCCAAUCUUGUGCACCAUCUUCAAAAGAUCAUUGGUAGAGAUUUGAUAAACAAAUCAACCAUAUUAACUUGAAUGAAUAUGUUGAACCUUGAAAUCAUCAUUCUUGAUAGAUAUGUAAUGUCUUCAUAUAAUGUCGUAGAAUGUCCAUUUCAAUAUCUCCAUAGAGAUUCUCGCAAUCAUAUUAUCAUGCUUAUAGUUAUAGCAAGAUACAUAUGUGCACAAAUUGUACUUAGGAUGUGGUACAUUAGAACCAAGAAUUGUAUAUGCUUAAGCGAUUCGAAUCCUUCAGGGAUUGUCAUAUAAGUUAAGUCAUAUAAGCCAUUUAAAUAGACUUUAGAUGCAUAUCAAGUUUUCAUGUCAUGCUAGACAUAAAUAUAUGAAAGUGAUUGCACACACUAUUGAAUUUAUACUUUUUAGUGUUUGAACUACAUGUCCAAAACUACAUGUCUUUCAUAUGAAACCAAUUCUAUUCGAAUUUUGUCUCUUUCAUUUGACCAAUAUUUCUGUGCCUGUAUUUGACAGACUUAAGAUCCUCAUCUAUACUUAGCGCUAUCAUAGAUGUCAUCGACGAACAUUUUAUAUCAGUUUCAACCUCCUUUUUUCAUAAAGACAUAACAUAGAGAUCUCUUCAUUCAUAUUUUCAUGUACCUGGACCUCUCUUGAGAUUUUAUGAAGUGCUAUGUCAUGUGAUCUUCUAGAUCACUUGCCUUCUUACUAUGAUCAUUUGCUCAUCUUCUUUAUCAAGAAUUUUAUUUGAAAUUGAUUUUUCUAUAGAUUUAAUCGUACCAUAGACUUUGUCCUUCUAGGACUUAUUCUAAUAUGAGCAUUUGCAGUGAGAAUAUAGUUACUUUCUUUGGUCAGCAAAUGUAUCUGGCAUGCUUUAUAAUAUAUUGCGGAUGAAAUAUUUUUUUAUGAACUUCAAGUUCAUAUUGUUUUAUUCGAGGAACCAGAUGUAUAGACAAUUCAUUCCACUUAAUUUUUUGUCAACCAUUUAUUCUAUCUCCCCCUCUUGCUAGAAAAACUAACUUGCUUCCUCAACUUUGAAAAUCCACCUUUGUGCGUUAUGGUGUUAAUCAAACUAUACACUGCACAUCAAUAAUAAUAAGAUGAAAUUAUUUGACUCCUGAUCCUGAAUCACUUGUGAGGGGAGAAUGUAAUAUGCUUUCGUAUAUAACGUAUAUCAACUGAAAUAGAUAAUUUAUUCUCGUAAGUAAUAGUUUAGCUAUUAAGUGGAGGCACCCACUAAAUCAUUUUGCUAAAUCAGCUGUGAUGUAAACCAACUUAUCAAGAUGAACUGUCUUGAAUAGAAAAUCUGGAAACUAUACUCUAAAUUAAAUUAUUGAGCAACUUACCUCGCAAACACCAUGUUGGGGGUUAAUAAUAAUUUUACAUGUAACCAUCUCAUAGAUGCAUCUUAUGUGGUAUACAUGGUAGGUGAAUGAGCCCAUAUUUACCUUUGAUAUUUCCAGCUUUCAUGGGAUUCAAUCCCAAUUUUAGUUUGUCUAUUAAUUAAUGAAAACAAGCAACAUAAGAGAAUUCGUAAAGAACUUUAUUUACCCAUGUGAAUUCUCUUUUAUUUUUGCACAUCAUAAUUAAAUUAAUAUGGAUAAACCAAUUAUGCCAACUGGAUAAAUAAUCAAUAUUGAUAAACUUCAAGUUUACACCAUGACGUGUGCAAUUAUGAAUAAACUCCAAGUUUAUUAUGAUAUGGAUUUUUAUAUCAAUAAACUUCUAGUUUAUUAUGCCAUUCUUUUGUUUGUGUAGUACAAACUGGAGAAUAAAGUAAGUAGCUUUUUACACACAUAUUAUCUCGCUACAAGUUGUAGUAAAAGAAGAUAUUAUAUUUUUCCUUUAUUUAUAGUCUCAAUAUAACCAACCGUUUUCGCGAAUACUUUAGAAACUAUAUAAAUUUCUUUGAGAUGUACUACAACACAAUACCUUAUUGAUUAUCAAUUUUAUUUCUUCAAAAUAGUAUAAUUGGCUCUUCUAGAGCUUUCAAUUGCUUUUGUACUACCACAUAUUUAUUAACAUCCAUGUGGUGAAUAUCUCUUUCAAGGAGAAAGUUAUACCAUUAUGGUCAUGAUCAAAAUCAUUAUAGGCAAGAUAUGUUGCUUCUAUUACUUUUGUCAUGUAAUAAUCACAUUGCCACAAUAUUUUGGCAUAAUCAUAAUAGGUACGUGAUCAAUGACAAUUCAUGCCAUAAUAAUGAAAUUAUUUUCUUAUUUCAUCUCAAACCUCUUUCUAGAGAUUAAUGUGGUAUAUCAACUACCACUAGUACGUUCAUAUUCUUCCAAGAAUGAAUAUGUAUUCAUAAAUCAGAUGUUAUCACAUUCACAUCAUGAAUGAACCAUAAUCAUCUAAUCUCAAGUUAAAUCGAUGACAAAUAUUAUUUUCAGAGAGUGAAAGAUUAUUUUGAGAAUUCUUAUUAUUCUUAUUACCACAAUGAUGACGAUGAUAAUUUCGUCUAUUGCCACGUCCACAUCCAUUGAUACCUUCACAGUAAUAAUUUUGUCUGCUUUCAGACUUGUUACAUAUUGCUACCACAUUCUCUUAAGGGAAUGAGAAUGAAGCAAAUUUAAUGGGACGGGUUUCCACUUCUUGUGCUCAUAAUCAUAUAUGAAUUUGAUCAUGGCAAGACAUAAAAAUUUUAUCACUUCGGAUAGUUAAAAAUUUUCACAAACUCUAUUAGAGUUAUAAUCAAAAUUUAUUGUCUUUGCUUGCAUUUAAAAUUAAAUUAUAAAACUUCAAGAAUUUAAAAGAGAAAAAUAAGGUAAAAUAUUUAUCUUAAGUCCAGAAUUUAUCCCUGAAGGAUGUUCAUGGAAUAAUUGACAAUCAUUAUACUCAAUAUUAUGUACAAGUUGAGCACCAUGUACGUAUCCCAAAGCCUGGUGACCAAAGCAGAUAAUAAUGACCUAACUGGUCAUUUUAACUUUUAGAACCCCGUUCCCUAAAAAUAAAACUUUAUGUAUGUAUUUUUAAUGAUUUAUUACUUGCGGGGAUGAUUGGUUCGGAAUUUAGAAGUGUUUGGGUUGAAACCAGAACACUUGGUUCCUUAAGUUGGCUUUAAAAGGCCAAGUUUGACUUCGGUCAACAUUUCGAGAAAACGACUCCGGAAUAGCAUUUUGACGAUUCCAACAUCUUCGUAUUGUGAUUUUGGACUUAGUAGCGUGUUCAAAAUUUUAUUUGUAAGUCCGUAGUUAAAUUAGGCUUGAACUGGCUAAAACAAGAAUUUAAGUUUGGAAGUUUGACCGGGGAGUUGACUUUUUGAUACCGGAGUCGAAAUCUAGUUUUAAAAUUUUUUAUAGCUCCAUUUUAUGUCAUUUAUGACUUGUGUGCAAAAUUUGAGAUCAAUCUGACUUGAUUUGAUAGGUUUCGGUACCUAAUAUAGAAGUUGAAAAUCUUAAGUUUCAUUAAGCUUGAAUUGGAGGAUGAUUAGUAGUUUUAGCGUUGUUUGGUGUGAUUUGAAGGUUCGACUAAGUUCGUAUGAUGUAUUGGGACUUGUUGGUAUAUUUGGUUGAGGUCCCGAGGGGCUCGGGUGAGUUUCGAAUAGCUAAUGGAUCACUUUUGGCCUUUGGGAGACUGCUGAUAGCUACUGGUAUUUUUUUUCCCUGAUUUCCUUAUACGCGAUCGCGUAAGUUGGUCUGCGAUCGCGUAGAGUAAUUUUGGCAGAUGGAAAAUAUUGUUCUGUACGAUCGCAUGGAAACGCCCGCGAUCGCGUAGGAUAGACCAGCUUGUGCAUCGCGAUCGCGUGUCGUUGUUUGCGAUCGCGUAGGGGAAACUGGGGAGGAGCUGGGCCACGCGCUUAAUACUUCGCGAUCGCGUGUAGAGGUUCGCGAUCGCGUAGGUUUGCGGAGACAGUGCUUCGCGAUCGCGUGGGACUUUAUGCGAUCGCGUAGGGUUAUCUUCUGGGUAAUAAAAUUUGUACUACGCGAUCGCGUGAGGAAGUUCGUGAUCGCGUAGAAGAAAUCACUGGGCAGAGAGUUUAAGUUUUCAAAAUGGGACUUCGUCCCAUUUUCUAUUUUUAACGAUUAGGAGCUCGGAUUUAGAUGAUUUUUGGGAGAUUUUCAGAGAAAAUAACGGGGUAAGUAUUCUUAACUCAAUAUUUGUUAAAUUACCCGAAUCUAUCACUGUUUUUAUCAUUUAAUUGGUGAAUUGAGUUGGAAAAGUUUGAAAACUCUCUUGGAUAGAUUUGAGGAUUUGAGGGCCCAAUUGUUAUCGAAAUUUAGUGAUUUUGGUAUGAGUAGACUCGUGGUUGAGUGAGCGUUCAUAUUUCGUAACUUUCGCCGUAUUCCGAAACGUGGGCCCCAUGGGCUAUUUUUGAAUUAAUUUUGGAUUUUUAUUGAAAAAUAUAGUAUUUUCUUAUGAAAAUGAUUCCUAUAAUUUUUAGUGAUUGUAUCGAAUUAUUCUUGGCUAGAUUCGAGCCAGACAUAGUUGGAUAAUUGUAGAAAAGGCCUUCUAUUGGAUUAAAUUGGAGUAAAUUGAAGUAAGUCUCUUGUCUAAUCUUGUGAGGGGGAAAUUACCCCAUAGGUAAUUAAAGUAACAAUUGUUGCUAAUUGUGGGGGCUACGUACACAUGAGGUGACGAGAGUCCAUGCGUAGCUACUAUUAAUGCUAAAGUCUGGGUAGUUUAGGACUCACAACAUGAAUUACUUGUGCAAAUUAUAUUCUUUAUAUAUAUAUAUAUAUAUAUAUAUAUAUAUAUAUAUAUAUANNNNNNNNNNNNNNNNNNNNNNNNNNNNNNNNNNNNNNNNNNNNNNNNNNNNNNNNNNNNNNNNNNNNNNNNNNNNNNNNNNNNNNNNNNNNNNNNNNNNNNNNNNNNNNNNNNNNNNNNNNNNNNNNNNNNNNNNNNNNNNNNNNNNNNNNNNNNNNNNNNNNNNNNNNNNNNNNNNNNNNNNNNNNNNNNNNNNNNNNNNNNNNNNNNNNNNNNNNNNNNNNNNNNNNNNNNNNNNNNNNNNNNNNNNNNNNNNNNNNNNNNNNNNNNNNNNNNNNNNNNNNNNNNNNNNNNNNNNNNNNNNNNNNNNNNNNNNNNNNNNNNNNNNNNNNNNNNNNNNNNNNNNNNNNNNNNNNNNNNNNNNNNNNNNNNNNNNNNNNNNNNNNNNNNNNNNNNNNNNNNNNNNNNNNNNNNNNNNNNNNNNNNNNNNNNNNNNNNNNNNNNNNNNNNNNNNNNNNNNNNNNNNNNNNNNNNNNNNNNNNNNNNNNNNNNNNNNNNNNNNNNNNNNNNNNNNNNNNNNNNNNNNNNNNNNNNNNNNNNNNNNNNNNNNNNNNNNNNNNNNNNNNNNNNNNNNNNNNNNNNNNNNNNNNNNNNNCCUCCUUUCUUGUGGAGCGGGCCACGCCUCGGCAGGAUAGAUGCAUCUAUGGAUCGUGCCACACGUCCCUCGGCAGUGUACACGAUAUUCUGGAUCGGGUCGUACGACCUCGGCAGAAAUCGUACUUAAUAAUAAUAAUUACACGAUACUUUGAUAGUUUAUUGUAGCUUGUGAAGCUAAUUGAUAAAUUGUAAAUAUUUGAAAUUUAAAGAAUUAUUAUUCAUGCUUGUUAAGGAAUUAUUGUUAUUCAUGUAAAUGAGACUAAUUGAUAAAUUUAAAAAUUUAUUGGAAUUAAAGGAAUUUAAUUAAUAUAUUGAGAAUUAUUGCAUUUGAAGGAAUUUAAUUAUUUCUGUUGGUUAAAUAAAUUAUUAUAAAUUUCUGUGAAUCAUGCUGAUUUAGAUAUUCUAGUUUUAUUUCAAUUAUUAUUAUUGACUCAUAGUGAGUGUCAAAGUCGGUCAUCUCGUCUCUACCACUUCGAGAUUAGGCUUGAUACUUACUGGGUACACGUUGUUUACGUACUCAUACUACACUUGCUGUACUUUUUGUGCAGGACCUGAGGCAAGUAUUAGUGGGGGACCUAUCGUCUUACACCCACGUUAUCCAGGGGCAUAGUGGUGAGUUGCAUUUCUGAGCCAUUCUGCAGCUACCAGUGUCUCUCCUUGUAUUUUUCAUUCUGUCUAUUUUUAUUUCAGACAGUAUUUGAGGUUUUGUAUAAUCUACUAGAUGCUCAUACACUUGUGACACCAGGUCUUGGCACACACAUUGGUAGAAUUUAGAAUUGUAUUAUUUUUUUCUUGGAUUUAAGUUAAUCGGUAUCUUUUCUUAUUUCUUAAUAUUGCUAGUAAAAUAAUAAAAUUUCUUAGAAAAUUAUCCUGAAAAUAAUUGAUAUAUAUUUAAUUUAUUUGUUGGCUUGCCUAGCUGUAGUGUUAGGCGCCAUCACGACCCAUAGAUGAAAUUGGAUCAUGACAUGCCUAGUAUAAGAAUAUCAAUGCACGCAAGAGCCUCACUCAAAUUCCUAUAUCUUCUCUCCAUGGGUGGUUUAAUUUCUCAAAUAUUAGAUUACUAGUUAAUAGCAUAUCUACAAAUUAAAACAAUCUCCCUCUACUUCAUUGGUUAUAGUCUUGUGCUGAUAACGUGUUAUGAAACAAUAAAAGAAGAAGAAAAGUAUUGCAGAAAAAAGUAGGGAGAGAGAAUUCUUAUUGAUUUGUGAUAAUUUACAAUGGAAUAUAACCCCUCUAUUUAUAGGGAAAGAGUGACUUCACCACCAAGUAAUAAUCACUAAAAUCUCUUUAAAAAAUAGACAUUCACCUUAAAUACAAUUCUAUUUAUAACAUGAAUAAAUUUAUCGUUUUCAAAAUUAUAAGCAAUCUCCACAAUUUGAUUUCAAUUCACACAGAUAAAACUGUAAUUUUAUUAAAAUUUUCUUAUUGGGGCUAAGCAACUUUACCCCUUUAUAUUUAUGGAUGGGUUCGGUUGGAGUAAAGAUACUUUGUGUAACUCCACAAAGUACGUAACUUGCAUUUUGCUACUUUACUCAAUAAAAGAAAAACCAUACCUUUACGCAGAAAAACUUGAAUUUUGUUUGCAAUUUAUAAAAAUAGGCCAACACAAUUUAGAGGUUGUUCCACAAAUGAUAUAUGCAACUAACUCAUUCAACCUCACGUCAGGUUUUAGACUUUUUCAGGGAGGCCAGUGCACAAAGCAUCUUGCGUUCACGGAGGGUUCAGAGAAAAGUCACGCCCCAAGGGGUAUGAUGUAGGCAGUCUACUCUAAUGCAAAUAUCAGUGACUAUUCAUUUAAUCUCGUCCACUGCCGAACAUGACAUUGAAUGUGAACGCCAAUAUCUUCUCUUGCCCCUUUUUUACUAGUAUUAUAUUUAUAUAUAUUUAUAACGGUGGCGUUCGGACCAACUUGCGCGUAUCUCGCGUAUCUCACCUAUUCUAUUGAAACCUGGUACUUCCCACAAAUACAGAUAACAUUUUUUGGCAGAAAGAGCACUCACUAGCCGCUUUUUGGCCCUAUCUUAGAAUAAUAGCCAUUGUCCUAAAUAUUCAAAUUCCACAAGUGAAACUCCUUGACAUUAUAGAAUUUGAAACUCCGGGGAGUGGCUAUUUUUAAAUUACAAGGGCAGAAAAGUGGCUAUUUGUGAAUUUGUCCCGAAUUUUUUGUCUCCGUUAGAAUUUAGAAGGGGAGCUUUGGAGCAAUGGUAAAGUUGUCUCCAUGUGACCUAUAUAGGUUACGGGUUCGAGCCGUGAAAACGAUAGGAAGUCUAUAUCACACGUCUUGGAGUGUGACUCUUCCCAUGACCCUACGUGAACGCAGGAUGCCUUGUGCACCAUGCUGUCCUUUUGUCUCCAUUGGAAUUCGGAAUUUGAAUCCUAGUUUCCAUGGUAGUAUUUUUUCUUGCCAUUUAUCUGUUUAGCAAUCAAUAGAUUAGUUCCUUCUCCACUUACAAUGGGAUGACCUAUACAAAGAUCAGAGACAUAUAUAGCAUUAGAAUUUACAAAGCAAACACAAGAUUUACUAAGCAAAUGAAGGGUCUAAAGUAUCAAAGGAGAGUGCAAGAACUGCACUCAAAGAGUAAGGACUUCAUUGACAUCUAAUAAUCCACAGCCCUCCAGCUUAUCGCUAGCUCCACCUCAUGUUUUUAUCGCUUAAAAGCUAGGCUCAUUCCUAUACAAAAGUAGUCACAGAAGUCGCGAGCUUAAAGAUUGCAUCACUGCAAUCCUAUAGCUCGCGAAAAGCAAGGAACUACAUAAAAGCCAAAUGCCUUUACAAAGAUGCAUCAACAAUUCAAAGAGGCCAAAGGAGAACGGGACUGCAGAUAGUCACUUCCAUUUGUUAGUGUGCAAAGACGAUUUUCAUCAU